rnacentral:lncRNA from 1 species
AGUAAGCAACCAAAAGGCAAGAAAUUAACUAUCAUGGCUGCCAAUAUAGCUUUACCAUAUGCAGCGGGCAUCCCAGCUCCAGCAUGCCAGCAGCGUCGUAGAAGCAUGGUGAUCAAGGCGCAGAAAACCAGUAUCAUGGCCAAUCCACCUGCAGUACAGCACUGUGAACAAGCCAGUGGCUUUGGUUCCAUACCACGCCAUCCUCUUACACAGCCUUCAUUCAGUACCAAACGGAACAACACAAUGGUGGUGGGUGCUUAUCCCGACUUGAAAUUAGAAAUUACCCCGGGAAUUCCAGUAUAUACAGACGGGCGGCUUGAGAACUUUUCUGGUGAACUUUUGAAGUUGGACGAUAAAAUCUUUUGGGAAGGGCCUCGACCUGAAUAUCUCGACAAAGAAAUCGAGGAUGGAAACACCGGCUGUUUUUUGCAGAAAGCUGACUCGGGAGGUUCAAUUGGAGGACUCGAAUAUGUAUUCCCAGGAGACGAGUAUAAGUGGGUGAUUGCUUGGAGCAACGCCAGAAAUGAUCUCAAUAAGGUUUUGUAUUCGUAACCUUCAACAACUGACUCAAAUUACUACUAUUUACAGCUUGUACUUACAUAUAUGCAUGUAAUCAAUUAUUCUUAUCUACCUAUCAAUUGCAGGUCUACACUGUGAUCCAUCGUGACGACGUUGAUUGGAAUGAAAUCAAGCAAAGUCUCGAUGCAUCCGGCCAAGAAAGCAUAUUCAACGGCCUUAACCAUGACAUCCCAUACUCUUCAGUCGCUCUGAUUGAUAAAACAAGCCCUACGCCAACAAUGGUUGCAGUACUUCUAAAGGCAGGAGUACCCCUAGCCUCCACCAAAAGCACUCUGACAGCCGCCAAUAUCUCUAAAGACCUUACACAAGCCGAUGGACAAAUCUCUAAAGACCUUAUACAAGCCAACGGCGCAGGGGUAGCACCAGCUACUCAGGAAGCAGAAAAGCAGGUGGCACCAGCUAGUUAGACACGAUCUCGUUAAAGUAUAUAAUUAGCUGGCUUUGUUUAUCGAUCAAACUGUGCUGUGCGGUUAUGUAACUAUAUAUUACUAUUACAAUAAAUUUGAAAGCCAGCAGUGUUUCGACUGUUACGGGUGUCUUGGUUAUGCAAAAUUUCAGAGUAUAUGUAGCUGAUCAUAUCUGAAAAUAAAAAGCCUAUUACUAUCUUAUCAUCUAAUGUUUGCUCCACCUACUUCGUACUUCCUUCUAAACAAGUUCUCAGACAAAGUUGAAAAUAAAGACCUUAAAAACUUUUGAUAGUAUGUUUAUCUAGUAAUAUCUAAAAUCCAAUAAAUAAAAACCGUGACUCCCCAGUUAACCAACAAAAUUACAACUUGCUUAAAUGGAUUAUGUAACUGAUAUUUCCUUUGAUUAGGUUAAAUAAUUUUAUCAAAGAUAUAUGACUUAAAAUUUUAUGGGUGAUCCAUGCCAAAAUAAUUCAAAUCAUGUUUCAUGUCAAAAUUUUAUUUAAACAAAAUCCACAAUUUCCAAAUAUAUAAACUAGAUAUAAUUCGAUUCCUUUUAUUACCUAUGCUCAAAUACAAUAAUUAAUCCUAGUGAGAAUAACUUGAAAACUGCAAUUAACCCAAAUGCUAUAGACUGAAAAUGUCAUGGCUAGAAGAAUUGGUUCAUUUUUUUAGUUUAUCUGUGCAUAUUUAGAAAGUAAAUUGAUUUGGUUUAGUAGUUAAGUGUUCUAAAUUGAGUGCUUGAGGUCUUAUGUUCAAUUCUCUAUCCUUAAAUAUUUUUAUUAAAUUUGUCUCAAUAUCUGGAUUAACAUGUAUAGAUUAUCUUUAAUUUUUGUUUGCUCACCUAUAACAAUCAACCUACUAGUUUGGUGGUAAGGUUUUAGUAUUCCUUUAGAUCUCAAGUUCAAAUCUUGCUGUAUGUGAAAGUGGUAAUUAACCUAAACCCUCUUAAAGAGUGAGUCAAAUGCAAACUCUAAAGUGAUAACAAAUAAAUUAUGAUAUUGUUUUAUUUUCUUUUUAAAUUGAGAAUUAUUUCUCAAAACUCUCUCUCUUGCCAUCCCACUUCCCCCUCAUUCUCCACUUUGUUUUGCACGUUGUUUUCUUUUGUUGUUAUAACGCCCUUUUGCCAAAUUUUCUUUGUUUUCUAUUCCUUCCCAUCUCUUUUGUCUUUCCCUUUUUCUUUAGUUUCCAUAAGAUCACAAUGAACACUCUAAUGUGUAAUAGCCCAAAUUUGACUGGGUUGAAAGCAGAAUAUAAAAAUUAAAAUGUCCAUUUAAAAAGUCCAAUUACAAAACCCUACCCAGUAGGCCCACUGUUACUACCCAGCAACCCAAAUAAACCCAAUAACCCCAUAGCCCGUUACAAUAACCCAAUACACCAAUACAGUCAUGGCUCAAAUUCUUAGCAGGCCCAAUGAGCCCCAAACACACAUCAAACCCUAUAGUUUCUUCCUAACUUUUUUUCCUCGCGCCGUAAGGGAUUCUGGAAGCUUCGGGGAGCAUCUGUCCAGCUCCCCGAAUCGAGGCCAUCAAUGCAGUCAAGGCCGGGACCGUCAUCGCCAUCAUCGAAGCCUUUAUCACCGCCACCAUCAACGCCCAAGACACGCCAGAAUCUGGCAUUGGCUCCAUUAGCGUGCAAACAUCAGUGAUUGAGCAAGAUUCUCGUGGGUUACCUGCGAACAAAAAAGAAACUAAAAUAAAGAGAUUUCAGCAGAUCACAAUCAAAGAUAUGAUACAGCAGACAAGAAAUGGAAAGAAAUCUUUGAUUUCUUUCCAAUUUAUGUAAAUCACAGUAGUGGCUAUAAAAGCCUGAAUCAAACAUUGUAAAAGGACUUUUCUUACGAAAUAGAAAUAUAUAUUCACAGAUAUUCAUUCAAAAAUAUCAACAGUCUCUCAAAAGGUGAUUUACAUCGCAUAUCUUGUGCUUAUAUUUUGAAUAUAUAUGAACUGUUCUAACCUGCAUGAGUAAGGAUCUAAGGGAAGAGAGAUUACCCGUGGAAGGACGAAGGUUUUUAAGCCUUCAGACCACCGUGUACGACAGCGCGUGAGGCGCGUGUGCAAACACUGCACCGUGGCCGGAGGUCGGAGCUGGGACCUCUCUCUUCCCCUUUGCAGAGUUUUUUUUUUUGUUUUUUUUAAAGACCAGUGUUAAAAUGAUCUUUAAGUUGCAAAGUUGGCUUAUAUAGCCUCUUCGAAACGAUAUCGUUUCUACUUAACUCAAUAAGCUCAAAACGGUGUCGUAUUAAGCCAUAGGAUCCGCGCGUUGACCCGAUUACCCGGGGAGGAUCCGCGUGUUUUUAGAAUUGGGUUAAUUACCCAAUCGGUCCUUUCGCCUCUUUUAAUUUAUAAUUACGUAUUAUUUUAUUUUUUUAAUUUGGCCCUAUUAUUUUACAAUUGUUUCAAUUUAGUCUCGACAGUUGUUAAAUUACAUUCUGGGAAAUGUUGCCGUUUUGAGGAAUAGGGCAACUUGCCCAAUGAGUCCCUCUUGUUUUACGCGCGUUUUAAUUAGGGCCUUAAUUCACUGUUAUUUCUUUUAAAUUUCCCCUGAGAUUUUAUUGAACUUCAAAUUUAACCCUAUAUAUUUAUUAUAUUGUUAUUUGUUUUAUUUUUAACCUUGUUUUUAUAUUAUAUAUUAUAAAAUUAUUUUAUUAUAUAUUAUUUAUAUUAUUAUUAUUUAUUAUAUAUUAUUUUUCACAAGUUAUUAUUAUUUUACAUCAUUAUUUAUAUAUUAUUAUAUUAUAUGUUUAUUAUAUAUUAUAUAUUAUUUUUAUAUAUAUUCUUUUAUAUUAUAUAUUAUAAUUAUUUUAUAUAUUAUUAAGUCAUUUUUAUAUUAUUAUACAUUUUUAUCUAUAUAUUAUUAUCAUUAAAGGUUUUAAACUUGUAUUAUAUAUUUAUCUUUAUUUAUAUAUUAAUAAAUUUUUUUAUUUAUAUUCUAUUAUUACACAUUUUGAAGAUAUUAUAAUAUUAUAAUACAUAGUUUUCAUCAUUAAUUAUUCAUUUUAAACUUAUAUUUAUAUAUAUUAUAUAAUUAUUUCAUUAUAAACAUAAAUUCUUUUGCAUAUUUUAUAUUCUAUACAUUAUUUUACUAAACCAAUAUCUUUUGUAUUUUUUAUGUAAUUAUUAUGCUUAUAAAUACAUUUUUAUUAUAUAUUAUAUUUUAAAUUUAUUAUUAAAUAUCACAUUUUUAUUAUUUGUUUAUAUUAUACAUAUAUUUUUUUUUAAACUUUUGUUUUUAUUAUUAUACAAUAUUUAUUUUUACUUUAGUAUUAAUGUAUUAUUGUUAUGUUAUAUAUUAUAUCUUAGACUUUUAUAUUUUAUUUUCAAAUGAAUAUUUUUUUAUAUAUGUACAUUGAUAUAUUGUAUAUCAUGCAUCAUUUAUAUGAUUAAAUAUAUGUUGAAUUAUAUGUUUAGGGAUUUUUACCUAUUUCUUCUUUAAUAUGUAUUCCGUUUUAUGUAUAUCUUUCUUAUUUAAAAAUUGUCAUGUUUUAUUUCUUAUAUAUGUUGAUUAGUGUAUGAUAUUUAUGCCGUUAUGCUCUUACUUUCCUAUCAUUGUAACAUGUUAUCUCGUAUGUUAUGUUAAUAUGCUCCUUCAUGCAUCGAUUUUUUUUUUAAAAAAACGAGACUUCAAAUUUUUCAAAAAAAUAAAAAGGCAAUGCUCGGUGUUUGGAAGCUUCGAGAAAAGUAGUGCCCUAACUUAUUGAGUUGCGACUUUUCUCGUUGAGUUCGAAUAAUCAAGUACCCUUCUAAGUUUUAAAGGUUUUCCAAGUGCAAGCCACUAUAUUGGAAUUUCAAAGCAAUAUGUCCUAACUUAUUGGAUAUAGCGUUUUGUGGUUUCAAGAUAGGAUUUCCAAAAAAGGUUAACUUAAUGUCAAUACUUUGAUACGAGUGAAUCCCAAUUUUCAAAAUUAAAAUAUUUUAAAGAGGACUACAUCUUGAAAUUUUUGAAUUUCCGACAUUAAAGACACUUGAUAAUCAAUUAGGUACCAAUUUUUGGGCGUUACGAGGGUGUUAACCCUUCCUCGAACGUAACCGAUUCCCGAACCCGUUCUUUUAUUUCGUAGACCAAAACUAAUGAUUUUAAAACAAAAUGUUUUAAAGGUGAACCAAUCGCACCUAAAAAGAUUGGUGGCGACUCUUGUUUUUGUUUUUAAAGUCGAUUCCCAUUUUCCAAAACUCGAUUUAAAAAUGGUUUCGACAGCUUGGCGACUCCACUGGGGACUAAUAAGAGAGUCAAGCCGUGUAAUUGAUUAUCUCUUGUCUUAAUGUCAGAAAUUAAAAAUUUUAAAAUUUAAUUCUCUUUGCAUUACAUGUGUUUGUAUUAUUGCAUGUGUUGCUAUAUCCUGAUACGCAUUGCAUUUGCAUGACCGUUGUGGUCACACCCUUAAGUGGGAGUGAGAAGCUACGCCUUCGUGAGGUUUUCGCCUUCGUGCAGGAUAGUGGAUCACUUUCGGGAUACAUCCGUACCUAUGGUUUUGUGAGAUUUUCAUCUCCGUGUAGCCAUAGGAAAAUGUAUUCCCCUGAAUCGAACUCGAUUCAAAUGAGCCUAUAAUGGGUGAAUCGAGGAAUCUGCUGGUUCGGGUACCUCAAACUUUAGAACCAACCUCAUAUCGAAAGACCGUAUAAGCCCAACUUAGUUAGGUUUAAACCUUAGAUAUUACCCUUAUAAGUUAUCAUUGAAAUUUAUUGAUAUCAUGUGAUACUGACUAUCUCUUUUCUUUUGUUUGCACGUCAUUUUGCAUUUACAAAGAUAUCGGUUCACGAUCAGUUUUUAAGUUAGGAAGUUUUAUUAUGGAGAACGGACUUCUUGAUAGAGUGGAAGGCAACGCCAACGUCCAUAGAUGGUCUGAGCAAACUCAACUAGAAAAGGGAGAUAGUAUAGCUGAGGGAUACCUGUCGGAGUUGUCAGAUUAUACUCGUAUUAGUGUCACGCAGAAUAAUCUCCAGGAGCUUAAGGAAAUUUGGGAUCAGUGGGGCAAAGAGACCAAGCAGUUAUUCUACGAUAAUUACGGAGACUUACCGUACUUGCUUGAUGUUCAGAUAGACGAGCACUUAUUCCGAGCCCUUGCUUAGUUUUGGAACCCAGCAUACAAUUGCUUCACUUUUGGGGAGUAGAUAUGGUACCUACUGUGGAGGAGUACACUGCCUUGCUUUGUUGUCCCAGGUUUCAGAAUGAUAGGAUCUAUUCUCGAGCUGCUUGUGUCCCUACUUUUUGGAAGAAAUUGAUGAUUAUUACGGGGAUGAGCGAGCAGUGGGCCACGACCCAAAUUAAGGAAAAGGGUGAGUGCAAGUGCAUUUUGUGGGAUGCUUUGAAAGAUUUGAUUCUGACACACCCUGAUGAGACGAAGAAGGUGGAUGUUUUUGCCUUAAGUUUGUAUGGAUUGAUGGUUUUCCCUAGGGCGUUGGGAUACGUGGAUGAGGCAGCCACGGAUCUUUUUCAUUGACUCAGUAAAAAAGGUCACUUCUGUUCCUGCAAUUUUGGCGAAAACAUUCAGGUCUUUAGGUGCAUGUAGGAGGGAUGGUGCUAGCAGGUUUAUAGGGUGUGCUCAGUUACUUUUGGCUUGGUUCUACAGUCAUUUUCGGUUGAUAGAUAGGGUGGUUUGUCGGGUCUUCUUCGAGGAUUAUUCACCGUUGAAAGACAUAGUAGCUUCAACUAGGAGAGUUGAUGUUCCAGAAGAGAAUUGGAUUGCGCUACUUCAGAACCUUCAGUCGAAAGAUGUCGAGUGGAGGGCUCCGUGGAUGAUUCCUGGUGAGGUUCUUUAUCGAUGCGGCAGUUUUGAUUGGGUCCCCCUGUUGGGAAUUUGGGGUGCCAUUAGUUAUGCCCCUUUGCUCGUGCUGAGGCAGCAUGGUUUGAGACAGUUCGUACUAGCAACUCAGGGGUUGGCUCAAUGUGAGUUCGUAUAUAGAGGAGCCGAUUAAAAGAGGAAGGUUAGUGAAGUUUCUAGUGCUUAGAAGAAGACUUGUCGGUUGAAAGGAGUAGCUAUUAGUCCUGCAACCACACCAGAAUACAUUGAAUGGAGAGGUAGAAGGGUUAACGAUAAUAUCCCUAAGCCAAGUGUGGAAUGAGCUCGACCGAUGGAAGAAUAUUUGCAAGUAAGGCCCUCAGAGUCAAAAAUUAUGAAGCAGGAGUUCGAGAGAAAGAACUUGGAGUUCGAGAAGAGGAUAGCAAAGCUCAAAGAGAAAAAGAUGUACUUGAGUUUGGACGUCAAUGUUCAAAAGAUGGAGCUCGAGAAAGAGAGAAAAGAAAAGAGAAAGAUCGAGAUGAUCUAAAGGAGCAUUACAAAAGGGAACAAGUAUCCUUGAGGAGAGCGAGAGUAGGAGGAUCUUCAGAUCAGUUGCAGAAAGAGGUCCAAGAGGAAAAGGCUAGAGUCGAGUAUUAGGAGAGGAAGUUCCAAGAGAUGCAGGUGUAGAAUUUGGCAUUAGAGGAAGAGAAUAGAAGAUUGAAGAAUAAGGUAACUGAGCUUGGAAGAUCACUACGUUGGCACCAAAACCAUAAUUCUACGGUCGAGUUAAAAGAGCUAAAAAGCAAGGUUGAGGAUUUGGAAGUGGCAUUGCAUGAUGGUGAACUCUGAGUUGAGCAGCUCGAGGCGCAAGAAGAUUAUCUGAAGGGAGAGCUUCAUCAGGCUAGAGGACAGGUUAGAGAAAGGGAUCAUGUCAUUGGUGAAGCCAUAGCCCAGAUUCGAGAGGUUGCUGAAUAUGUGCAAGACUUGGCAAUUCGAGCUGAUGUAUUGAGUUUGAUGUAUUCAUCAUCGUCGGAUAUAGGACAAGAGUUAGCCAUUUUAUUAGAUAGAGUUAAAGCUUUGGGCCUUAGGGCGAAAGCGUAUUUGUAAUCCUCUUGUAUGUAAAGAUAUUCUUUUUCUAAAUAAAAUUUUCUAAAUGAAUUUGAAUCAAAAUCGAUAUCCUUUUUGCAUUCAUGCAUUUGCAUCUCAUAGCAUUUCAUCAUAUCAUUUGCAUUCAAAGUUAUAGAAAGACCUUGAUUAGUUAAAAUUUACUUUAAAAGGUAGAAAGAAAAAUCUGGAAAUCACACAUCCUUACGACACUCACACUAAAACUAAGAGCAUGGAUCAAAGGUUCGAGCAAUUACAAAAAGAUAUGCAAGACCAAAUGCAAGAGUAGUUGGCCAAAAUGCAGAAUGAAAUGAGGGAGCAAAUGCUAGAGGCUCAGAGGAACAUGAUGGCUAAAAUGGCUCAGCUGUUGAGAGCCACUGAUAAGAAAAGCUCCCAUGGCGAUCACUGAAGAAGAGAAUGAGGGUUCUCCUCCGGGUUUUACUCCGCCUCAUGUGCCACUGCAAACCGAAGCACCUCCUAGAAAGCCAUUUGUUACAGUGAGGCAUCAGCAUGAGCCAGUUGAUGCUAGAAUCCCCGUAAAUUUCCCAUCUGGGUUGGGAAAUAAUUUGGGUGAUAGCUCGGUCAACCCUAUCACUCUUGAUCUGGAUUUGAUGGAGAAGGAAAGAAUGGCAACUGAAUCCGCAAAACAAUUGGAAGAUCGUUGCAGGUGGUUAGAGGAGAAGUUUAGGGUUUUGAAAGGCGCUGGCAAUCAUCAUAGGAUUGAUGCAAAAGACCUAAGUUUGGUCCCAGAUUUGGUGCUUCCUCAUAAAUUUAAGAUGCCAAAGUUUGAAAAGUACAACGGAACUACUUGCCUAGAGGCACACAUAACAAUAUUCUGUAGGAGAAUGACUGAAUAUGUGAACAAUGAUCAAUUAUUGAUCCAUUAUUUUCAGGACAGCCUGGUAGGAGCAGCGGCUAGAUGGUACAAUCAAUUGAGCCGUGCAAGAAUUGGUUCAUAGAGAGAUCUGGCACAGGCUUUCAUGCAACAAUACAACCACGUGACUGAUAUGACGCUAGAUAGGAUCACACUUCAAAACAUGGAGAAAAACCCUAAUGAAAAUUUUAGGCAAUAUGCACAACAAUAGAGGGAGGUGGCAAUGCAAGUACAACCACCAUUAUUGGAAAAUGAGACCACCAUGUUAUUUAUUAAUACUUUGAAGGCGCCAUUCUCACACAUAUGAUUGGAAGUACCACGAAAAGUUUCGCGGAUAUAGUUAUGGCGGGUGAGAUGAUUGAGAAUGCCGUGAGGGGCGGUAAAAUCAAGGUGAAUAACAUGAACAGUUUCAACUCCAGGACAGUCACAGUUGGACAACCUAAAGCAGCUACGGGUGAGCAACAAAGUACUCAAAGACAGGAAUUGGGUACAAGACAAAAUUCGGAGAGGAUGCAAUUCACUCUAUCCCUGUGACAUAUCGUGAGCUUUACCAAAGCUUAUACGAUGCACAUGCCAUUGCUCCAUUUCACUUGAAACCGCUGCAGCCACUGUACCCUAAAUGGUAUGAUGCAAAUGCUAAAUGCGAAUAUCACGCGGGAAUAUCGGGGCAUUCAAUUGAAAACUGCACUGGGUUCAAGUAGGUCGUGGAGAGACUCAUCAAAAUGGGGAUUGUAAAAUUUGAUAGUACCCCUAAUACUAAAAACCCGUUACCAGAUCAUGGCAAUGAAAGAGUGAAUGCCAUUGAGGAAACAAAGAAAGGAAAAGUCAAGGAAGAUAUUGUUGAGGUGAAGACACCUAUGAAAGUAAUAUGGGAGGAGACGGUGAAGAGAGGUAUGUUGACCUCUAGAAAAGGAAGAGAAGGAAUAGAGAACCAUUAUGAAUUCCAUGGAGAGGUGGGUCAUAUGAUCCAAAAUUGUGAAGAGUUCAAGGCCAUGGUACAAGGCCUUAUGGUUAACAAAGAACUACAGGUUUCUGAGGGUAGUUCUUGUGAAGGACAAAUAUGUGUGCUGGAGAAUGAACGACAAAGAACCAGCCAACCAAGAAUUAUUAUUUCCUUGCUAGGGAAUAAUGAGGCGGGGUUGCAAACUGGGCCCAAAAUAGUUAUCCAUAAACCCAAUCCUUUCCCUUACAAGGAUGACUAGGAGGGUGCCAUGGAGCUAUGACUACAAUAUAGCAAUACCUAAGGGGAAGAGUAUAGCUAGCGCGGCCAGGGGCACGCAAAAUGAAGGUUCCCAUACACGAAAUGGGAAACGUUAUGAUGGGGGGAACAUCAGAAUGGAGCCCGCAAAGACGAAAGAUGUCAAGGUUGAAAGGGAGAACGAGACUGAAGUACCCAUCAAUGAGCCGGUAAAGGAGGAAGAAGCUAGGGAGUUUCUAAAGUUCCUAAAACAUAGCGAGUAUAGCAUGGUCGAGCAGUUGCGCAAACAGCCAGCACGUAUAUCAAUGUUAGCCCUACUCUUGAGUUCUGAGAUGCAUCGGGAUGCGUUGUUAAAGGUGCUUAAUGAAACAUAUGUCACCCACGACAUAUCCGUUAACAAGCUGGACCGGUUAGUAAACAACAUCAGUGCUGACAAUUUCAUCUAUUUUAAUGAUGAUGAAAUUCCACCUGGAGGCAUCGGGUCAACCAAAGCCCUGCACAUCACUACUCGGUGUAAAGGAUACACACUUUCAAGUGUACUCAUUGAUAAUGGGUUUGCUUUGAACGUCCUCCCAUUAUCCACAUUAAAUAGAUUACCCAUUGAUAGUUCACACAUGAAAGCAUGUCACUAUGUGGUAAGAGCUUUUGAUGGAGCUGAAAGGAAAGUAAUGGGACGAAUUGACAUCCCUCUGGAGAUUGGGCCAAAUACGUAUGAAGUUGAUUUCCUGGUGAUGGAUAUCAAACCCUUCUAUAAUUGUUUGUUGGGGAGACCAUGGAUACACUCGGCAGGAGCGGUGCCCUCCUCACUACACCAAAAAUUGAAGUUAGUGACAGAUGGACGCUUAAUAACCAUCAAUGCGGAAGAGGACAUCAUAGCGGCAGUCACCAGCAAGGCCCCUUGUAACGCCCCAAUUUUCUGGAAUUCUGUGAAUGUUGGCAUAGGUUUAAUUAUGUUAGUGGGCCUCUAGAAGGCCCAAGCUUAAGAUAGAACCCGGUAAUUUUAGUUAAUUUUUGUUCCAUAAGAAAAAGGGAGUGAAAUUAUGAAAUAGGACCUAUGUGAGUGAAAUUAUGAAAUAGGACCUAUGUGAAAAUGUUUGAAAAUGCUAUAGGCUAAUUUGUAGUGGCCAAAUAAAUAGGAGUGCAAAAUAGGAGGAUUUGCAUGACAAACCUCCCAUUUUACAUGAAGUGGCCAGCCAUCAUGUUGUUGUAGACAAUAUGAGCACUUGAUAUCCAUAAUUCAUGGUACAAAUUGAUAAUGGGUUAGGUAAAUGUUCCAUGAUAAUGGUUUAGGUAAAUGUUCCAUGAUGGGCAUUUCAUGUCUUUUGUAUUAAAGAAUUAAAUGGAUGAAAUAUGAAAUUUUAUUAAAAGAAAAAUGGGUGAAAAGAACAAAGUUUUGUCCAUCUUUGUUCAUCAUAGCCUAAAGUUAGAGAAGAGAAAGGAGAGGAGAAAGCUCUUGAAUGUUCGGUCACUUGGGGAAGAAAAUUGAAGGUAAGUUCAUGGUAGUUUGCUUCUAUCUUGAUGUUCAUGAGUUCUUCUUGAUUCUACCUUAACUCUUGAAGCAUAUUUUGGUUUUUAGUUGUGUUGUGAGCAUUUAGUCAUGAAUUAAAAUGAAGGAAAUGGUUGUUGUUUCAUGUUCUUUUGAUGAAAAAUGGAAGAUAGGUGAAGCUGAGCCAAACAAAUGAGCAUGCAUGUGCCUUAGAUGCUAAGGGGAAAAAUCGUUAACAUGUUGUGCUUUAAAAUGAUGAAAUGGAGAUUAUACUUAAGUAAAAUCAUAGAUAUGUGAUGAUUGAUUGGUGAUAUACAUGUUUAAAUAACAAGCAUGCAAGUUAGGUGUGAAAGAGUGAUUUGGUAAUAAAUCUGCUUGGGACAGCAGCAGUAACGUGAAUUUGGAAAAUCACCAUAAAUUGUGGGAGAUGAGUUAAAAGCUGCAUAAAUUAUAUAAUUAAAUCUAAAUGAGUCUAGUUUCAAAUGGAAUAAACGAGAACAUAUUUUGAAUUCUGUACAAUGAGAAAUUUGAUUCGUAAUGAGGAGUGGUUAGAUUAGUCAAACAAUGAAACAUGAGAAACUUUAAGAAAAAUCUGGUAUUGAUUGGCCAUACCAAAAAUUCUGAAAAUUUUAUGGAUAGAAGAUAUAUGAGUCUAUUUUCAGGAAAAAUUAACGGCACUUGAUUUGGAGUUUCGUAGCUCCAGUUAUAAAUAAUUUAGUGACUGUUGCUCAGGAAGACAACUUGCAGUGAAAUUAUGAUUAUGUGGUAAACAUUGACAAAAAUUUGUUAAUGAGUUGCUUAUUGAUUUCUUAUAAGCUUACUAUGAUCUGUAGGUGUGGUUGGCCGAAUAUUGUAAGGGGUUAAUACGUAGUUUGUAUUUGAUUAGUUACAUUAACGUGUUAGUAAUCCAAUUGUAGGCGGUUCGUGUGUGAAUCUCGUCAGCAUAUCGUCGCAAACAGGUGUGUAACUGACACCCUCUCAUAGACUAGAUUGGCAAAAGCCGAAAAGCCGAAAUGCCGAAAAGUCAGUAUUUUGGGAAUUUGCGAGUGUGCGAAUGCUCGUAAGAUAGUUGGGUUUGUAUAUUUGGCAAUUUAAAGUAAUAAACUACAGUACGCGCGAUUUCGUACAUUUUGAUAAUUUGGGCUUAAAGGGCCAAAGAUCGAGUUCAUGGGCCAACAGGCCCAAAUCGGUAAGUAUGCGCGGUAAGUGUUCUGAUAGUACGUAAAUAGUUAGGAUAUGCAUGAAAACCCUAAAAGCAGCUAAAUUACUAUAAUACCCCUAUGUAUGGAAAAUUACUGUUAUACCCCUAGGUGCAAAAUUACCGUUAUACCUAGGGUUAAUUUUGACUGAAAAGCAUGACGAUCUGAUUCUGUAUGAUGUAUGCCAUGAUUAUAUAUCUGUUGCAUGGGGACAUGGGUUAUAUUAUGGAGGAAGCAUCCCGGUGGCUAUGCCACAAUUAUCUGAUCUGGUGGCUCUGCCACAUAUAUCUGUUCUAGUGGUUAUGCCACGAUUAUCUGAUCUGGUGGCUCUGCCACAUAUAUCUGUUCUGGUGGCUCUUCCACAAUAUCUGUAUCUGGUGACUUCGUCACAAUAUCUGGCAGCCUCGCUGCGAUUUCUGUGGUGUGUAGCAGUUGGGUGGGUCGAGUAGUCUCCCCACAUGGUGUAAGGCUGGUACGGGGGUGUUAUGGAUGAAUCUGGGUUGGGAUUUGUGUAUUCAUGUAAUAUCUGUUCUGAUCUGUUAUGGGCCUAUGGGCUUUAUUCUGAAUUUCUAUUUUGGGCUAAGGCCAACUUAUUCUGUUUGUUUGGUUUGAGCUGAUAUAGGCUAUGGUUGGGUUAAUUUACACACUGAGUUUCCCCAAACUCACCCCUUUUAUUUCCAUCCACGCAGGUAAUCCCCAACCAUAGUGGGCUUGGAGCUGUGAGGGAAUUCGGAGUGGCCACCCGUUCUGAAAGUUUGAUUUUCUUCUGGUGAACUGGAUAUCCUUUUAUUUACGUUUGAGGUUUUGGGUUUUUUUUAAAUGUAAUAAGGCCGUUUAAUUAUUCUUGAUGGUUUUAAUAUGUGUUACUAAGAUAAGUAUUACUUAUUUUAACUGUUGAAGUUGGAAAGAUUUAGGGCGCGUUUUCAAAAACAACAAUUGAUUUCAAAAUACCACGAUAACAAGCAAAGCUUCCGCAAUGAAAGUAUUUUCCAAAAUUAAUCACUUUUCCUAAAAAGGACUUAAUCAAAUCGGUUUCCUAGAAAUAUACAUGACGUUAAGGUGUGGCAAUGGCGGUAUGCAUGUCUAGGAUUGGAUCCGAAUGGAGCUUGGUACUUAAGCAGUCCGAUAGACUCACCUCCUCUUUUCCGAUUUCCUACCUGGUGCACAGCUUCCAUUCACUUUAACCUAUAAUAAAAUUAUCUUUUAAAACACUAAGUAAGUUUUUCUGGAUCAACAAUAUAAAAUGUUUUGAACGCUUCGAUGUGGCAUGUCGAUCUGGCCAUAACGUCUGGGCCGGGUUUGGGGUGUUACAUUUAGUGGUAUCAGAGCCUAGGUUGCAACAACUCGACUGUGGAAUGGGUUUACAAAAACAAAGAUUUUCGAAAGCGAAAAUUUUAUAAAGAAUGCGAAAAACUCGAUUUUCAAAAUUUAGAUCUUUAGAAGGUGGCAUUCCGAAUCUCCGGCUCAAGUCUGUAAGUAUUCUGAAUUUUUUUGAUUAUUUUCCUGAAUUAUCUGUCUGUACUGAAACCCUAUUAGGAUACUCUAGAUAGGAUGAUACUGAAACCAUAGGAAAAUCUGAUAAGAGACUGAAACUGUAGCUAGACUUUAAUUCUGCGAAAACAAACUCUGAACUACUGUCUGAUUCAUAAAACAUCUGCAAUAAACACUGGAAUAUUAAUUGAUGCAUAAAAAUUCGUAAUCAAGAUAAUACGAUAUGAGUACAAGAGGCCGUGGACAGAGCCGAGGAAGUGCUCAAGCGAGAUCUUCGUCUUCGAGACAUAUGCCGGCGGUGGAUGCACCGGUACCAUCGACAACGGAAGUGGAGUCUCAUGAUCGUGGUGCCGGGGAUGACGCUCUGUCACAGGCAAUGCUUCGUGUUCUGGACAGGGUUGCCGGGACAAGUUCGGGCAACGAAAUUCAAGGAUCAAUUUCUGAACGACUCCGGGCCAACGGAGCGGAGAUCUUUAAGGGUGUGUCUGGUAUCGCCUCGAAUGUGGCAUAAUAUUGAUUGGAGGCUAUAGAACGGAUUAUAGACAACUUGGACUACUCUGAGGAGAUUGUGAGUGGGGUAUCUGUACUAAGUCCUUUAGGUCACUCGGUUAGGGUAGACAAACUGUAUAGGGAUAUACCCUUACAAACUCAAGGUAGGUUUUUCCCUGGAGAUCUGAUGGAGUUACCAUUCGGAGAGUUUGACCUCAUUUUGGGAAUAAACUGGCUUGUUAAGCAUAAGGUGGCCCUGGAUUGUGCUGCUAAACGAAUGGUGUUAAGGACCACAAAGGAUGAGGAGGUUAUAGUGAUAGGUGAGAGAAGGGAUUAUUUGUCCAAUGUGGUGUCGGCUUUAAGAGCUGAAAAGUGGAUUCGGAAAGGUUGUGAGGCCUAUUUGGCAUUUGUAAGUUAGUCAGAAGAGGAGGGAUUGACAGUGGAUAAGGUUAGGACCGUAAAGGAGUUCCAAGAUAUUUUUCCGGAGGAGCUUCCAAGAUUGCCUCCGAACCGAGAAGUUGAGUUUGGAAUAGAUUUUUUGCCUGGAACAGCGCCCGUGUCCAUCGCACCGUAUAGGAUGGCACCGAAGGAGUUAGUGGAGUUAAAGGCUCAAGUUCAAGAGUUGUUGGAUAGGGGCUUCAUUAGGCCAAGCAUGUCUCCAUGGGGAGCACCGGAGCUAUUUGUGAAGAAGAAGGAUGGUACAAUGCGGAUGUGCAUUGAUUAUCGCCAGUUUAACAAACUAACAAUUAAGAAUAAGUAUCCACUGCCAAGGAUUGAUGAUCUAUUCGACCAGCUUAGAAGAGCUUUUGUAUUUUCCACGAUCGACCUCCGAUCGGUCAAAGAGGUGGAUAUCCAUAAGACGACAUUCAAGACUCGGUAUGGUCAUUACAAGUUUUUGGUUAUGCCAUUUGGACUGACGAACGCUCCUGCAGCAUUUAUAGAUCUGAUGAAUCGGGUGUUCCAACCAUUCUUGGAUCGAUUCGUAGUCGUCUUCAUUGAUGAUAUCCUGGUAGAUUCUGAAACUGAAGCGAAACAUGAUGAGCAUCUCCGUAUAAUGCUGCGAGUGUUAAAAGAGAAGGAACUCUUUGUGAAGUUCAGCAAGUGUGAAUUUUGGUUGAGAGAGGUAACCUUCUUAGGACAUGUGGUCUCUGCCGAAGGGAUUAAGGUGGACCCUCGAAAGAUUGAAUCAAUUUUGGAGUGGAAGCCACCUAGGACGGUGUCGAAAAUUCAAAGUUUCCUAGGGUUGGCAGGAUACUACAGAAGGUUUGUGGAAGGUUUUUCUGUUAUGGCAGCACCCCUAACAAAACUCAUAAGGAAAGGAGAACCGUUUGUAUAUACUGAGAAGCAGCAGUGAGCUUUUGAGAAGUUGAAGAAAGUUCUGACUGAAGCACCUGUGUUAAUUCAGCCGGAGUCUGGGAAAGAUUUUAGUGUGUACAGUGACGCAUCACACGUGGGUUUGGGCUGCGUGUUAAUGCAAGAGGGUAAGGUGGUUGCAUAUGCAUCACAACAGCUUAAGCCUCAUGAGGGGAACUAUCCGACUCAUGAUUUAGAGUUGGCAGCAGUGAUAUUUGCACUUAAGAUUUGGAGACAUUACUUGUACGGAGAAAGGUGUAUUAUAUACACUGACCAUAAGAGUCUUAAGUAUUUGUUGACUCAGAAGGAGCUGAACCUUAGGCAAAGGAGAUGGAUUAAGUUACUUAAGGAUUAUGACUGUUCGAUCGAGUAUCACCCAGGCAAGGCUAAUAUGGUAGCCGAUGCUCUAAGUCGUAGAGCUGUAUCUGAUCUAAGAGCAAUGUUUGCUUGUCUGAGCCUGUAUGAUGAUGGAAGUUUGUUGGCUGAGUUGCAAGUGAGGCCAACCUGGGUGGAUCAGAUUAAGGAAAAGUAGUUAAACGAUGAGUCUUUGGUUGCUCGUUUUCAACAAGUUAAGGAAGGGGAAACUUCUGAGUUUGGAUUAAAUGGCGAAGGAGUUCUGUGUUUCCGAGGAAGAAUUUGUGUUCUGAAGGGCUCUGAUUUGAGGCAGACAAUAUUGAAACAUGGGAAACUUUAAGAAAAAUCUGGUAUUGAUUGGCCAUACCAAAAAUUCUGAAAAUUUUAUGGAUAGAAGAUAUAUGAGUCUAUUUUCAGGGAAAAUUAACGGCACUUGAUUUGGAGUUUCGUAGCUCCAGUUAUAAAUAAUUUAGUGACUGUUGCUCAGGAAGACAGCUUGCAGUGAAAUUAUGAUUAUGUGGUAAACAUUGACAAAAAUUUGUUAAUGAGUUGCUUAUUGAUUUCUUAUAAGCUUACUAUGAUCUGUAGGUGUGGUUGGCAGAAUAUUGUAAGGGGUUAAUACGUAGUUUGUAUUUGAAUAGUUAGAUUAGCGUGUUAGUAAUCCAAUUGUAGGCGGUUCGUGUGUGGAUCUUGUCAGCAUAUCGUCGCAAACAGGUGUGCAACUGACACCCUCUCAUAGACUAGAUUGGCAAAAGCCGAAAAGUCGAAAUGCCGAAAAGUCGGUAUUUUGGGAAUUUGCGAGUGUGCGAAUGCUCGUAAGAUAGUUGGGUUUGUAUAUUUGGCAAUCUAAAGUAAUAAACUACAGUACGCGCGAUUUCGUACAUUUUGAUAAUUUGGGCUUAAUGGGCCAAAGAUCGGGUUCAUGGGCCAACAGGCCCAAAUCGGUAAGUAUGCGCGGUAAGUGUUCUGAUAGUACGUAAAUAGUUAGGAUAUGCAUGAAAACCCUAAAAGUAGCUAAAUUACUAUAAUACCCCUAUGUAUGGAAAAUUACUGUUAUACCCCUAGGUGCAAAAUUACCGUUAUACCCCUAGGGUUAAUUUUGACUGAAAAGCAUGACGAUCUGAUUCUGUAUGAUGUAUGCCAUGAUUAUAUAUCUGUUGCAUGGGGACAUGGGUUAUAUUAUGGAGGAAGCGUCCUGGUGGCUAUGCCACGAUUAUCUGAUCUGGUGGCUCUGCCACAUAUAUCUGUUCUGGUGGCUCUUCCACAAUAUCUGUAUCUGGUGACUUCGUCACAAUAUCUGGCAGCCUCACUGCGAUUUCUGUGGUGUGUAGCGGUUGGGUGGGUCGAGUAGUCUCCCUACAUGGUGUAAGGCUGGUACGGGGGUGUUAUGGAUGAAUCUGGGUUGGGAUUUGUGUAUUCAUGUAAUAUCUGUUCUGAUCUGUUAUGGGCCUAUGGGCUUUAUUCUGAAUUUCUAUUUUGGGCUAAGGCCAACUUAUUCUGUUUGUUUGGUUUGAGCUGAUAUAGGCUAUGGUUGGGUUAAUUUACACACUGAUUUUCCCCAAACUCACCCCUUUUAUUUCAAUCCACGUAGGUAAUCCCCAACCAUAGUGGGCUUGGAGCUGUGAGGGAAUUCGGAGUGGCCACCCGUUCUGAAAGUUUGAUUUUCUUCUGGUGAACUGGAUAUCCUUUUAUUUACGUUUGAGGUUUUGGGUUUUUUUUAAAUGUAAUAAGGCCGCUUAAUUAUUCUUGAUGGUUUUAAUAUGUGUUACUAAGAUAAGUAUUACUUAUUUUAACUGUUGAAGUUGGAAAAAUUUAGGGCACGUUUUCAGAAACAACAAUUGAUUUCAAAAUACCACGAUAACAAGGACUUAAUCAAAUCGGUUUCCUAGAAAUAUACAUGACGUUAAGGUGUGGCAAUGGCGGUAUGCAUGUCUAAGAUUGGAUUCGAAGGGAGCUUGGUACUUAAGCAGUCCGAUAGACUCACCUCCUCUUUUUCGAUUUCCUACCUGGUGCACAGCUUCCAUUCAGUUUAACCUAUAAUGAAAUUAUCUUUUAAAACACUAAGUAAGUUUUUUUGGAUCAACAAUAUAAAAUGUUUUGAACGCUUCGAUGUGGCAUGUCGGAUCUGGCCAUAACGUCUGGGCCGGGUUUGGGGUGUUACAUUUAGUGGCAUCAGAACCUAGGUUGCAACAACUCGACUGUGGAAUGGGUUUACAAAAACAAAGAUUCUCGAAAACAAAAAUUUUAUAAAGAAUGCGAAAAACUCGACUUUCAAAAUUUAGAUUUUUAGAAGGUGGCAUUCCGAAUCUCCGGCUCAAGUCUGUAAGUAUUCUGAAUUUUUCUAAAUAUUUUCCUGAAUUAUCUGUCUGUACUGAAACCCUAUUAGGAUACUCUAGAUAGGAUGAUACUGAAACCAUAGGAAAAUCUGGUAAGAGACUGAAACUGUAGCUAGACUUUGAUUCUGCGAAAACAAACUCUGAACUGCUGUCUGAUUCAUAAAACAUCUGUAAUAAACACUGGAAUAUUAAUUGAUGCAUAAAAAUUCGUAAUCAAGAUAAUACGAUAUGAGUACAAGAGGCCGUGGACGGAGUCGAGGAAGUGCUCCAGCGAGAUCUUCGUCUUCGAGACAUAUGCCGGCGGUGGAUGCACUGGUACCAUCGGCAACGGAAGUGGAGUCUCAUGAUCGUGGUGUCGGGGAUGAUGCUCUGUCACAGGCAAUGCUUCGUGUUCUGGAAAGGGUUGCCGGGACAAGUUCGGGCAACGGAAUUCGAGGAUCGAUUUCUGAACGACUCCGGGCCAACGGAGCGGAGAUCUUUAGGGGUGUGUCUGGUAUCGCCUCGAAUGUGGGAUAAUAUUGAUUGGAGGCCACAGAACAGAUUAUGGACAACUUGGACUACUCUGAGGAGAUUGUGAGUAGGGUAUCUGUACUAAGUCCUUUGGGUCACUCGGUUAGGGUAGACAAACUGUAGUCUUUAGAAAUUUUUCAGAGUAAUUCUCGAAACAUGUUUGUUACUUUAGGGCCUAGGAGUAGUAAGAUUAUGUUUGUGGAAAGAGGUCUAUGUUCAUCUAUAAUUAUUUAAAUAAAACAUAACUUUUAUCAAUUUAAACGAGUAUUGUUUCAUUUUUAUCGACCAAUAUUCCUUUAAAUUCUGGAAAUUCUUAUUCUUUUAUUCAUAGCACAUAAACAAUCAUUCUUAGAUUCAUUCAUUCUUUGUAUAUCCUUUCAUACCACCACAGGUCCCUAGAUAUCAAUGAUAUGAGCGAUGAUACUGCAGCUCCUAAUUUCUCUAGCGAGCAAAACGUGUGUUUAGAGGAACUUUAGGAUUUUGAAGAUGUUCAAGAUUGUGACAUUUCUCUCGAUCUAUUAAGAAUGGUAAAGCAAGAGGAUAAACAAAUCAUGCCACAUGAGAAAAAGGCAAUAGAGAAUAUAACCCUAGAGGAAGGAAAGAGUUGAAAAUCGGAACCCUAAUUAGCGAGGACACAAGACAUGGUCUGGUUGAGUUGCUUUGAGAGUUCAAUGAUAUCUUCGCCUGGUCAUAUCAGGAUAUGCCCGGAUUGAGUACCGACAUUGUGGUACAUCGACUUCCGAUAAGACAGGAUUGUAAGCCAGUCUAACAGAAGUUGCAAAGAAUGAGGCCAGAUAUCGUUUUGAAAAUAAAGGAUGAAGUCAAGAAGCAGUUCGAUGCAGGAUUCUUGCAAGAAGUGAAGUACUCCGAAUGGGUAGCUAACAUUGUGCCUAUUCCUAAGAAGGAUGGAAAGGUACGAAUGUGUGUUGAUUACAGAGAUCUGAACAAAGCAAGCCCAAAGGAUAAUUUUCCUUUACCACACAUUGACACUUUAGUAGACAACACAGCGGGAUAUUCGUUGUUCUCCUUUAUGGAUGGUUUCUCAGGAUACAAUCAGAUAAGGAUGCAUCCGGAGGACAUGGAUAAAACCAUAUUCAUAACCUUGUGGGGCACCUUUUGCUACAAAGUAAUGCCAUUUGGACUAAAAAACGUAGGGGCAACAUACCAACGGGCCAUGGUGAACUUGUUUCACGACAUGAUGCAUAAGGAUAUUGAGGUAUAUGUUGAUGAUAUGAUUGCCAAGUCGCGCACAGAAAAAGAGCACAUUGAGGUCUUGAGAAGAUUGUUCUUGAGGUUGAGAAAAUUUCAGUUGAAGCUCAAUCCAGCAAAGUGUACUUUUGGAUCCAGAUUAGGAAAGUUAUUAGGCUUCGUAGUCAGUGAAAAAGGAAUUGAAGUCGACUCAGACAAGGUCAGAGCCAUACGAGAGUUACCUCUGCCACGUACUCAGAAGGAAGUUCGAGGAUUCCUAGGAAGAUUGAAUUACAUUGCUCGGUUCAUUUCACAACAAACCGAGAAAUGUGAUCCUAUCUUUCGCCUUCUCAGAAAGCACAAUCAAGGUACUUGGGAUGAGGAAUGCCAGAAUGCUUUUGAAGAGGUCAAGCGGUAUUUGUUGAAUGCUCCGUUAUUCUCUCCACCUAGCCCAGAUAAACCAUUAAUACUGUACUUGUCAGUGUUCAGUAAUUCUAUGGGAUGUGUGCUUGGCCAGCAUGACGAAUUAGGGAAAAAGGAGAAGGCAAUUUAUUAUCUCAGUAAGAAGUUCACUGACUGUGAGAUGAGAUAUUCACCAAUUGAAAAGUUGUGUCGUGCGCUGAUUUGGACAACUCGAAGAUUAAGACAGUACAUGCUAUACCAUACCACUUGGCUCAUCUCAAAACUUGAUCCGUUGAAAUACAUGAUGGAGUCAACGGCUCUAAAUGGGAGAACGGCGAGAUGGAAAAUUUUGCUUUCGGAGUUUGAUAUAGUCUACAUAAGUCAGAAGGCUAUAAAAGGAAGUGUGGUAGCAGACUUCUUGGCUAGUAGGGCUCUAGAGGAUUAUGAGCCAUUGAACUUCGAUUUUCCAAAUGAGGAGUUGAUGUGUAUAGCAAUGACUGAAAAUUCUUCUUGGAAGCUCAAUUUUGAUGGGGCUCUAAUGUAGUCAGAAAUAGAAUUGGGGCAGUCUUGGUAUCUCCGAAUGGCGAUCAUUAUCCUUUUACGUGCAAGUUGGACUUUGAUUGCACGAACAAUAUGGCUGAAUAUGAAGCAUGCAUCAUGGGACUUCAAGUAGCUAUAGAGCGAGGUAUAAAAACCUUAGAAGUAUAUGGAGAUUCGGCAUUGGUUGUUUAUCAGCUUAGAGGUGAAUGGGAGACAAGGGACCCUAAAUUGAUUAGUUAUCAAAAUGUGGUUUUGGGGUUGCUUGAGGAAUUUGAUAGCAUCACCUUCAAUUAUCUCCCACGAGACGAAAAUCAGAUGGCAGAUGCUUUAGCAACCUUGGCCUCAAUGAUCAAGGCGAAUAAAGAAGAAGAAAUAAAGCCAAUUCAAAUGAGAGUUUACGAGGCUCCAGCUUAUUAUUGUAACAUUGAGAAGGAAGGAAAUGACAAUAACCCCUAGUAUCAAGAUAUAUUGCGAUAUGUGAGAGAUCGUAAAUGCCCUGAACAGGCCAGUGAAAAUGAUAAAUGAACUUUGAGGAGGUUAGCUUGCGACUAUGUUUUAGAUGGAGAUAUCCUGUACAAGAGACGGAAAGAUCAAGUACUUUUGAGAUGUGUCGAUGCUGUGGAAGCUAAGCUAAUUUUAGAAGAAGUUCAUGAAGGUGUAUGCGGGACGCAUGCAAAUGGGUUCACGAUGGCAAGGCAAAUCAUGAGGUUUGGCUAUUAUUGGGCCACCAUGGAAGGGGACUGUAUUAACUAUACCAAGAAAUGCCAUAAGUGUCAGAUUUAUGGAGACAAAAUUCAUAUACCACAUUCACCUUUACAUGUUAUGACUUCUCCAUGGCCCUUCUCCAUGUGGGGCAUGGAUGUUAUCAGACCAAUAUCACUAAAAGCUUCGAAUGGACAUCGGUUUAUCUUCGUGGUAAUUGACUACUUUACAAAAUGGGUAGAGGCCGCCUCUUAUACUAAUGUUACUAAGUCAGCAGUGAGUCGAUUCUUAAAGAAAGAGAUCAUUUGUCGGUAUGGAAUGCCUGAGAAGAUCAUAUCUGACAAUGCAUUGAAUUUGAAUAACAAAGCGAUAGCGGAGGUUUGUGACCAAUUCAAAAUCAAGCAUCAUAAUUCUUCCCCUUAUCGUCCAAAAAUGAAUGGGGCAGUAGAGGCUACCAACAAGAACAUUAAGAAAAUAGUGGGGAAGAUGGCUGAGACCUAUAGAGAUUGGCAUGAGAAGUUACCGUUUGCACUCCUGGCUUAUCGAACAUCUGUUAGAACCUCUACUGGGGCAACCCCAUUCUCGUUAGUUUAUGGGAUGGAAGCAGUGUUACCUAUUGAAGUAGAAAUACCUUCUCUUCGAGUUUUGACAGAGAUAAGGUUAUAUGAGGCUGAGUGGGUUCAAUCCCGGUAUGACCAGUUGAACUUGAUUGAGGAAAAGAGGCUAAAAGCCAUUCGACAUGGUCAGAUGUAUCAGAAGCGAAUGAUGCGAGCUUAUGACAAGAAAGUUUGACCAAGAGAAUUCCAUGAGGGAGACCUUGUACUGAAAAAGAUCCUUCCUAUUCAAAAGGAUUUUAGAGGAAAAUGGAUGCCGAAUUGGGAAGGGUCGUAUGUCAUGAAAAAAGCUUUCUCCGGUGGUGCAUUGAUCUUAGUGAAAAUGGAUAGGAAAAGUUUACCCAAUCCAGUGAACUCGGACUCAGUUAAAAAAUACUUUGUCUAAAGAAGAAGAGAAUCUAAGGUGAAAACUCGUAAAGGGCGCCUUGAGAUUUAAAAAAAAAAAACAGAGAGGCCAAGGUGAAAACCCGCAUAGGGCACCUUGUGACCAAAGGGGUUUUGAGUUGAAAACCCGAAAGGGCAGCUCAAAUUUUGAAGAGUACACAAUGAUCUUGCUACAAUGAGUGAAGAAUGCUGCAAACUGGGGCAUCAACAGAGUACUUAGGAUCUUUUAAACAUAUGUUGAACUCAAGAAAGACUUCAUGGAGCUGGUGUAUAGGCACUCAAGCGGCGAUAUCUAGAGGAUCUAACUUUUAUCUUGUUUGCUAUCUUUAGACUCUAUUUCUUCUAGAAGAUAGAUUAGCAGAUUAAUUCCCUUUUGUAUCUUUUUGAUAAUUUAUUCAAAUCUAAUUAUUCUUAAAAAUUUAUUCAUCUUUCACUAUUCUUUAAGUAUGUUGCAUUGAAAUAAUGAUAGAUGAACUAAAUAUGUUCACAAAUGAAGUUUUGCGCAUUACUCUGAAAUUUCUAGAUAACACAAGAAACUAAAACAGGACAAUUGUUCGAGAAAUUCAUGUAAGUAAGGGAUGAAAGAACUCGAGGAAUUCCUUUCUUCCAGUCCAAAAGGAAAAUAGACAAAGCCAAUAAUUCAGUUCUUACAGACAUCCUCAAUGGAUCGUAGCAUUGGAGGACGGCUUACAGGCUGAGCAUGAAUGAAACUUUGAGAAAAGAAAAGACAAAUGAAGGAAUGAAUGAUGACGUCUAGGAUAGGGGUCAUAUUCAUGACAUUUUUCAUCAUAACAUGUUUAAUUAGGAAAAUUCGACUCACUUCGAGCAUGGCAUCCUAAAUUAUCAAGCAUAAUCAUUUUACAGGUUAUCGGAGACAACGCGCUUUAAAACCCAAAACAGUAGGGAAACAGGCCGCAGCAUAGCAGAUCUGACCUUCAUCAGGGCAGAUCCAAGAUGACAGAUCUUAUCUCUCUGUAUUCGGCGGGGAGCAGAUCGAAGAUAUAGCUGAUUUGGCUUUCACGUGUUUACGAUGAAGCAAAUCUAAGAUGAUUUGUCGUCUCUGUAUUGUUAGAGAACAAAUCAAAGUUUGGCAUUUCCACUUUGAUAUAAGGCAAACACAUAGCAGAUCUUACCUUUAGAUGUUUACGCUGAAGCAGAUCCAAGAUUACAGUUCUUAUCUCUCUGUAUUCGGUGGGGAGCAGAUCGAAGAUAUAGCUGAUUUGGCUUUCACGUGUUUACGAUGAAGCAAAUCUAAGAUGAUUUGUCAUCUCUGUAUUGUCAGAGAACAAAUCGAAGUCUGGCAUCUCCACUUCAAUGGAGAACAGACACAUAGCAGUCUCACCUUCAGAUGUUUACACUGAAGCAGAUCCAAGAUGACAAAUCUUAUCUCUCUGUAUUCGGCGGGGAGCAGAUCAAAGACAUAGCUGAUUUGGCUUUCACGUGUUUACGAUGAAGCAAAUCUAAGAUGAUUUGUCAUCUCUUUAUUGUUAGAGAACAAAUCGAAGUCUGGCAUCUCCACUUCAAUGGAGAGCAGAUACACAGCAGAUCUGACCUUCAGACGAUUAGACUGAAGCAAGAUCUAAGAUGAUUUCGCAUCCUUGUGCUUACAAGGACAAAUCAAAGACAUAGCUGAUUUGGCUUUCACGUGCUUACGAUGAAGCAAAUCUAAGAUAAUUUGGCAUCUCUGUAUUAUCAGAGAACAAAUCGAAGAAGCAGAUUUGGCGUUCUUAUGAUCGAAGAUAUCGACAUGACAGUCAAGGCCGGGACCAUCACCGCCAUCAUCGAAGCCUUCAUCACCGCCACCAUCAACGCGCAAGACACGCCAGAAUCUGGCAUUGGCUCCAUUAGUGUGCAAACAUCAGUGAUUGAGCAAGAUUCUCGUGGGUUACCUGAGAACAAAAGGGAAACUAAAAUAAAGAGAUUUCAGCAGAUCACAAUCAAAGAUAUGAUACAGCGAUAAGAAAUGGAAAGAAAUCUUUGAUUUCUUUCCAGUUUAUGUAAAUCACAGUAAUGGCUACAAAAGCCUGAAUCAAACAUUGUAAAAGGACUUUUCUUACGAAAUAGAAAUAUAUAUUCACACAUAUUCAUUCAAAAAUAUCAACAGUCUCUCAAAAGGUGAUUUACAUCGCAUAUCUUGUGCUUAUAUUUUGAAUAUAUAUGAACUAUUCUAACCUGCAUGAGUAAGGAUCUAAGGGAAGAGAGAUUACCCGUGGAAGGACGAAGGUUUUUAAGCCUUCAGACCACCGUGUACGACGGCGCGUGAGGCGCGUGUGCAAACACUGCACCGUGGCCGGAGGUCGGAGCUGGGACCUCUCUCUUCCCCUCUGUAGAGUUUUUUUUUUGUUUUUUUUAAAGACCAGUGUUAAAAUGAUCUUUAAGCUGCAAAGUUGGCUUAUAUAGCCUCUUCGAAACGACAUCGUUUCUGCUUAACUCAAUAAGCUUAAAACGGUGUCAUAUUAAGCCAUAGGAUCCGCGCGUUGACCCGAUUACCCGGGGAGGAUCCGCGUGUUUUUAGAAUUAGGUUAAUUACCCAAUCGGUCCUUUCACCUCUUUUAAUUUAUAAUUACGUAUUAUUUGAUUUUUUAAUUUGACCCUAAUAUUUUACAAUUGUUUCAAUUUAGUCUCGACAGUUGUUAAAUUACAUUCUGGGAAACGUUGCCGUUUUAAGGAAUAGGGCAAUUUGCCCAAUGAGUCCCUCUUGUUUUACGCGCGUUUUAAUUAGGCCCUUAAUUCACUGUUAUUUCUUUUAAAUUUGCCCUCAGAUUUUAUUGAACUUCAAAUUUAACCCUAUAUAUUUAUUAUAUUGUUAUUUGUUUUAUUUUUAACCUUAUUUUUAUAUUAUAUAUUAUAAAACUAUUUUAUUAUAUAUUAUUUAUAUUAUUAUUAUUUAUUAUAUAUUAUUUUUCACAAGUUAUUAUUAUUUUACAUCAUUAUUUAUAUAUUAUUAUAUUAUAUGUUUAUUAUAUAUUUAUAUUAUUUUUAUAUAUAUGCUUUUAUAUUAUAUAUUAUAAUUAUUUUAUAUAUUAUUAAGUCAUUUUUAUAUUAUUAUACAUUUUUAUCUAUAUAUUAUUAUCAUUAAAGGUUUUAAACUUGUAUUAUAUAUUUAUCUUUAUUUAUAUUCUAUUAUUACACAUUUUGAAGAUAUUAUAAUAUUAUAAUACAUAGAUUUCAUCAUUAAUUAUUCAUUUUAAACUUAUAUUUAUAUAUAUUAUAUAAUUAUUUCAUUAUAAAUAUAAAUUCUUUUGCAUAUUUUAUAUUCUAUACAUUAUUUUACUAAACCAAUAUCUUUUGUAUUUUUUAUGUAAUUAUUAUGCUUAUAAAUACAUUUUUAUUAUAUAUUAUAUUUUAAAAUUAUUAUUAAAUAUCACAUUUUUAUUAUUUUUUUAUAUUAUACAUAUAUUUUUUUAAAACUUAUUAUUAUUAUUAUACAAUAUUUAUUUUUACUUUAGUAUUAAUGUAUUAUUGUUAUGUUAUAUGUUAUAUCUUAGACUUUUAUAUUUUAUUUUUAAAUGAAUAUUUUUUAUAUAUGUACAUUGAUAUAUUGUAUAUCAUGCAUCAUUAAUAUGAUUAAAUAUAUGUUGAAUUAUAUGUUUAGGGAUUUUUACCUAUUUCUUCUUUAAUAUGUAUUCCGUUUUAUGUAUAUUUUUCUUAUUUAAAAAUUGUCAUGUUUUAUUUCUUAUAUAUGUUGAUUAGUGUAUGAUAUUUAUGCCGUUAUGCUCUUACUUUCCUAUCAUUGUAACAUGUUAUUUCGUAUGUUAUGUUAAUAUACUCCUUCAUGCAUCAAUUUUUUUAAAAAAAAAACGAGACUUCAAAUUUUUCAAAAAAAUAAAAAGGCAAUGAUCGGUAUUUGGAAGCUUCGAGAAAAGUAGUGCCCUAACUUAUUGGGUUGCGACUUUUCUCGUUGAGUUCGAAUAAUCAAGUACCCUUCUAAGUUUUAAAGGUUUUCCAAGUGCAAGCCACUAUCUUGGAAUUUCAAAGCAAUAUGUCCUAACUUAUUGGAUAUAGCGUUUUGUGGUUUCAAGAUAGGAAUUUCCAAAAAAGGUUAACUUAAUGUCAAUACUUUGAUACGAGUGAAUCCAAUUUUCAAAAUUAAAAUAUUUUAAAGUGGACUACAUCUUGAAAUUUUUGAAUUUCCGAAAUUAAAGACACUUGAUAAUCAAUUAGGUACCAAUUUUUGGGCGUUACGAGGGUGUUAACCCUUCCUCGAACGUAACCGACUCCCGAACCCGUUCUUUUAUUUCGCAGACCAAAACUAAUGAUUUUAAAACAAAAUGUUUUUAAGGUGAUCCGAUCGCACCUAAAAAGAUUGGUGGCGACUCCUGUUUUCGUUUUAAAGUCGAUUCCCAUUUUCCAAAACUCGAUUUAAAAAUGGUUUGCUCACCUAUAACAAUCAACCUACUGGUUUGGUGGUAAGGUUUUAGUAUUCCUUUAGAUCUCAAGUUCAAAUCUUGCUGUGUGCGAAAGUGGUAAUUAACCUAAACCCUCUUAAAGAGUGAGUCAAAUGCAAUCUCUAAAGUGAUAACAGAUAAAUUGUGAUAUUUUUUUAUUUUCUUUUUAAAUUGAGAAUUAUUUCUCAAAACUCUCUCUCUUGCCAUCCCACUUCCCCCUCAUUCUCCACUUUGUUUUGCACGUUGUUUUCUUUUGUUGUUAUAACGCCCUUUUGCCAAAUUUUCUUUGUUUUCUAUUCCUUCCCAUCUCUUCUGUCUUUCCCUUUUUCUUUAGUCUCCAUAAGCUCACAAUGAACACCGUAAUGUUCUUUUCUUUUGCCACCCUAUCUUCUGCAUUGGCGGUCAUCACAUCGUAUCGCACAUAACCAAUAGCCAUUGUAAUCUAUCGCUCCUGUGCGCCACCAACCGACAGCAGCAACAACCUUUCGCAAUAGCCCUAAACCCUAAACCCUAAUAGCCCUUUAGCGACCCGUGGCUGAUUCUCUCAACAUUCGAUAGCCCUUAUUUGCCACCCUUAUCCAUCCUCUACAUAGAUCAAGUAUAGGUCCUAACAUUUUGUAAUAUGUGUAUGUGUGUAUCUUAUUCAUAAGUGAAUCGUGUGAUUUGGUGAUGACUGGAUGCAUGAGUAAAUAAAUCUUGUUGGGUUGUAUAUGUGUGAAUCCUAACCCUAUGUGAUAUAUGAGUGUAUGAUAACAAUCAAAUGAUGUUGAGUUUGAAUUGAUAUCAUUCGAUUGUGACCUGUUUUUUCUUUUGGCGGAGGCCAAAUGUAAGUAUUUCCCCUAACUAUAAAAUUUGGUGUAAUCCGGUUGACUGUGGGUGUGUUUCAGUUAUGGCUGAAUACGGGUAAAUGAGUUAGGUAACAUGAUCGAAGGUGAGUAUGCCCUAAUUUGAGUUAGUCAAAUGCAUAUGAGGCCCUACUGUGUUGCUGAAAUGAUACUUGCUUGUUUUUGUGAUGGUCGAAUGUGCCAAUAGCAUGUUUUUGAUAUGUUAAACUAUAUGUGCAAUUAGUAUGUUCUGAUCAAUUUUAUCUGAAUAUGCCUAUAAUAGGCCCAUUUCGCCCGGGCCUAUACCAAAUCCAAAAUAGAAAAAUAAUAAAACCAAAAUAAUUUAAAAGUCAAGUCCAUUUACAUUUUCCAAUUAACCCAAAUAGCCCAGCACCCCAUGGCCCCAAACUAAACAGAAUUUUCAGCAGAAACCCUAAGGUUCCCUUGCGCCAAACAGGCUUCCAGCAGCUUCCAGCAUCGCUGCUGCCUCCGGCAAGUCCCACGUGCGCCAUCAGCCAGCUGGCUCCAUACCUGCAACAAAUGGAAAUCACAACAGCAAAUGACAAAUAAUAUAACAGAAUAAUAGCAAACAAAUGAAGGGGGAAAAGGGGAAAUUUGUAAAUUUUGAUUUUGGCUAUAUAAAGCCAAUUGUAUACUAUAAAUAGGGGAUUAUUAUUUUUUUUUUCACAGAAAUACAGAAGCAUAUUGAAAGAGAAAUAAAAAUCGAAAAGGUGAUUUCCAGUCUUAUUGUUUUCCUUUUUUUCUUUUUCUUUUUUUGCGUUUUUCUUCUUUAGGAUUACAUGAAAUUUUAAAACAAAAGAAAGAAGUGGAUUUACAUGAAAUUUUAAAAUAAAAAGAAGGGAUUUACCUUAGUAGUCAAUAACCGUCUUCUUCGUCGCAAUCGAAGCAGGGACGGGAUUUUGAAAUCGAAGCAAAUAGUCUUCGAGGUUUAACCCUCCAUGGCUCCUCUGUGCAUCUUGAGUCACUGAUCAAAACGAAGCAAGAACAUGCAAAUAAGGGGGCUAUGGGGAUCGGCCGAAGGGAGAAGAGUGAAUUAGAGUGCUUCUGUCUUCUCUCUUUUGUUAGUAUUUUAGGUUUUUUUGUUUUUUCCUUUUGUUUUUUAUGAAACAAACAAAAUGGCACCGUUUGAGAAAGGUAAAGGUUUGCGUGAAAACUUGAUUUAGAAGUUGGAUUUGUGCCUUUUUAUUUAAAUGGGUAAUUUUCAUGUUUGAUCCUUCCUCCUUGCACCGCGUUGUAAUCUGCUCCCAUUUGCAUUUGAUUUGCUUUAUUUUCUUUUAGAUUAUUCCCAAAAUUUGAAGUACUUUUAUGUUUUAGUCCGCAUCUCAACACAAUGUUUCAGGAUCAGGGAUUAUUUCAAUCUUGAUCCCUGUGAAUUCAUGUGUGUUAUAUAUGAGUCUCCAUUAGUAGUUUACUUAUUUUGUAAAUUAUCUUUUUAUUUUACUUUGAUUUCAAUUAAGUAUUUUAUUAGAUUUAUGUUAUAAAUUUGGGUUUAUUCACUCAUACAUUUUCAGUCCUUUUAUUAAUGUAUGUAUAUUCAUCAUUAUUUUAUUUUCAUUUUUGUUUUUUUAUUGUUUAUAUUAUUUGUAAUGUUAAUAUUAAUUGUAUUAUUUGUAUUGUUGGUUACUUAUUUGUUGUAAUUUGAAUAAUUGAAGUUCCCCAUGUUGCAUACUAUUUUAUGUAGUGUUUUAUGCGUUAUUAUACAUGUAUAUACCUCAUAAUAAUUGGUUUUAUUCCAUGAACAUUAUUAACAUUAAAUUAUUAUAUACGUUUAACUAUUUUUUUUUCACAUAUUUAUGUUAUAUAUGUAUAUGUUUUUUUCAAAAUGAAAUCGCAUGUUGUAUACAUUAAUUAAAUUUUAACUAUACAUAUACAAAAAUUAUUGGUAUAUAUAAUUUAAAUACAUUUUUAAACAUUAGUAUUUUUAUACAUAUAAUUUCUUUUAGAUUUAUUCACAUAUCUUUCUUAUUCAAAAAGAAAAUCCCACAUAUUUUUGUGUAUUAUUUAAGUUAUUAUUAAACAUAUAUUUAGAACUUAUAUUUAAUUUGUAUUCAUUAUUAAAGCCAAGAUAUUCUUAUACAUAUAUAUUUUUUAAAUAAACUCACAUAAUGGUGUUUUUAAAAUUAUUAUGUAUAUAAGAUAUGGUUAAUUUUAUAAUUCAUAUUUUAAUUAAAUGAUAUUUUGACAUAUAAUUAUUUCUAACAUUUUUUCACAUGUAUAUGGCACAUAUUAAAUUAUUUUUAUUAUGGUACAUGUUAUUAUUUUCAUAUAACUUUAUGUAAAUAUUUUUCUAUGUAUAUAUAUCGUCUUUUAAAAUUAUUUAUGUGUAUAAUAUUUUUAAAAACCCUUUUAAAUCAUAUAAUUUAUUGUAUCUCAUAUUAUCCUUAUGUUUUUUUUUCAUAUAUAUAUUUUGUUAUUUAUAUAAUUUGCAUAUUUACUUCAUUUUUUAUACAUUAAUAAUUUCAUUCUUUUUAUCAAUAAUUAUACCCAAUGUUUACUUGUAUAUAAAAGUUUCAUAAAUUUACUUUGUAUAUUAUUUUAUAUCAUGUAUUGUUAUUCCUUCAUAUUUAAUACAUUAUUUAAAUUAUCUUGUGAAUUAUCAUUUUUUGAAUAAAUUUGUGUUUUAAAUAUUUUGUAUAUGAUUUGAUUUGAACUUUGAAAUUUAUAAUAACUAUUUCAAUAAACAUAUAUCCCAAGUUUUAUGCAAAUGUGUCGACUUAUAUAUAUCUUAUAUGAUCAUUAAUUCUUCAUUUUGUUUCAUAUAUAUUUUUGUACAUCAUUUUAUUUUGUGUUAUGAUCAUGUAUAUUAUUUUUAUAUUAAUUAUUCAUUAUCCAUGCUUAAAGAAUUUUUUUUGUUACAUUAUACGUAGAAUGAUUGUAAGAUGUAUUAAGCAAGGUUUAUUGUAUUUUGAGUAUAUUAUUUCAUAUUUAUUAUUUUUUACAAUGCAUUAAAUAUUUCAUCAAUUUUAAAAUGAAUAAACAUGUCUUUAAGCAAAUUUCUAAAUUUCUGUUAUUCAAAAAAUCUGAAAUAAGGCAAUAUCUAAUGUUUGGGGAAUUCGAAAAAUUGUGCUCAAUCGUACUGGGUAUGACUUUUCCGGUGAACCAAAUAUUUGGAUAACCCCUUUUAUGAUUUUAAUUUUUUUUUUCAAAAGUUAAACAUUGAUCGCAUCUUAAAGGUAUAAGGGAUCGUAUCCAAUCGUACUGGGUAUGAAACUGCAUAUCUUUGGAACGAGAGAUUUUUGACCACUAAUUUGAGCUAUUCAAACAUUUUUUUAUAUACUUUGGAAAAUCUUUUCUUUUAAAAUUUUUUAAGGACAGCAUCAAAUCAAUUUGGUACCAGUUUUUGGGUGUAAUGAGGGUGCUAACCCUUCCUCAUGCGUAACCAACUCCCGAACUCAUUUUUUAUUUUACCUAAACCAAAUUUAUUUUUCAUUGAAUAAAGCGUUUUAAUAGAUGGUCCAAUCACACCUAAAUCAAGAGAUUGGUGGCAACUCCACACUCGGUUUUAAAAGUCGAUCUCUAUUAUUUUUUAAAUAAAAAAGGGUUUCGACAGCUUGGUGACUCCGUUGGGGAUUGAACGAAGAGAGCCAGGCCAUAAAAUUGAUUAUUUGGUGUCCUUUUGUCAAAGAAUUGAAAAUUUGUUUUGAAAAUCAUGAUUCUUUUAAUUGCAUUUGUUUGCAUGAUUGUUGUGGUUCGAGUAUUGUAGAAUAAUAUGGCAUUGCAUUGCAUGACCGCUGUGGUUAUACCUGUUAAGUGGGAGUAAGAAACUAUGCUUUCGUGAGGUUUUCACCUCCGUAUGGGCUAGUGGAUUGCUUCCGGGAUACAUCCGUACCUAUGGUUUCGUGAGAUUUUCAUCUCCGCAUGGUCAUAAGGAAAUGUAUUCCCCUGAAUUGAACUCGAUUCAUAUGAGCCUAUAAUGGGUGAGAAUUGAGGAAUCUAUUGGUUCAGGUACCCUUUCUCUAGAACUGAACCACAUAUAGUGAACCUUGAGAAUCCACCUUACGUAGAACCUUGCCCAAAUUUAGUGGUCAUCUGAAUAGGUACUUUAUUUGAUAUUUAUUUCACUUGUACUAACGUGUUUUAUUUUUGUUUUGUUUAUAAUUGCAUUGCAUUACAUUAUCAUAGAAAGGAGGUGUUGAUUCAUAUUUGAUUGCUAAAUAGAAUAGCUUGUCAUAAGAAAAUGAAUUUCCUGAUAAAGUGGAUUAUAAUAUGGUUGUUUGAAUUGACGGAAGAAUGCUGACAGUUCGUGGAGAAAAACAAGUCUUUGCCUGAAGAUUCAAGCUGAUAAAGAUCGUUCGAGAGCCGUUGCAUCUCAAUUUUCUUAAUAGGAGCUAGUAACGUCGUGAGGAUAAUAAGUCGUAGCCUAGAUCAAGCAAAAAAGAGCUAGUGGAGGCAUUUGCGAGAUUUGGAUUUCACGAAGAAAAUGGAUCGAUGUCUUCACCUAGAAUAUGAAAGCAAGACCGUAUAUGUAAUUCGUUUUAUGUAAAGGGAUUUGUUUUCUAGAAAAGUUGUUCUAAUGUAAUUAGAUUGAAAACCAACACUUCUCUUUCUUUUGCAUUCAUCCCAUGCAUUUGCAUUGCAUUGCAUCAUUUCAUCAUUUGCAUUAAAUUUUCAUAAAAGGGAUCCCUAAUUAGUUGAAAUCAUUUCACUUAAUCUGGGAACCAACACAAAAUUUACCAACCAAGCGUCAUUACGAUACCCGUGCUAAGAUAAAAGAUAUGGACAAAAGAUUGGAAAGACUUGAACAACUUCAAAGAGAGAUGCAAGACCAGUUACAAAUACAGAUGCAAGAGCAACUGGCGAAGAUUAGGCAAGAUAUGAGGGAUCUGGUGCUAGAGUCUCAAAGGAAUAUGUUGAACCAGUUGUCUCAAUUGCUGAAAAAGGGGCUUGAAGAAAGAAAAAGUUCAGUGAUCAACAUUGGGAAAGACAAUGAGGACCUUCCGGGUUUUACCCCAGUAAGUGCUCAGACGUAUCCGCAAGGUGUACCUAUUGUCAAAAAUCAGUAAUAUCAGGCUGGUACCUUUGAUUAUCCGACAGGUUCAGGCUCUAAUUCGGGGGGCAACCCAACCAAUCUUGAAGUUCUUGAUCUAGAUGAAAUGGAAAAAGUAGAGAGGGAAUUGCCAAGACAAGUUGAGGAUCGGUAUAGGUGGUUGGAGGAAAAAUUGAAAGCAAUAGAGAAUAUCGACUUCUACUGUGGAAUUGAUGCUAAGGAUCUAAGUUUGGUCCUCGAUUUAGUACUCCCGCCAAAAUUUAAAACUCCAAAGUUUGAAAGGUAUAAUGGGACUAGUUGUCUCGAAGCUCAUAUCACAAUCUUCUGUCGAAGGAUGACAGGAUAUGUUAAUAAUGACCAACUGUUAAUCCAUUGCUUCCAAGACAGUUUGAUCGGGUCAGCAGUUAAAUGGUACAAUCAAUUGAGUCGUGCUAAAAUCAAAUCAUGGAAAGACUUAGCACAAGCCUUCAUGAAGCAGUAUAGUCACGUAACAAACAUGGCACCUGACAGAAUUACCUUGCAGAAUAUGGAAAAGAAGCAAAAUGAGAGCUUCAGACAAUAUGCCCAAAGAUGGAGAGAGGUAGCAACACAAGUCCAACCGCCUCUUUUGGAAAAGGAGACCACGAUGCUUUUUAUCUAUACUCUGGAAGCCCCGUUCAUUGACUAUUUGUUGGGAAGUGCUACUUUGAGCUUUUCAAAUAUAGUAAUGUCCGGUGAGAUGAUUGAAGAUUCGAUAAGAAAUGGGAAAAUAGAUAUGGGAGAAGGUGCCAAAAGGUCAACUCCGGGAAACAAGAAAAAUGAAGUGAACAUCGUUGGUCAACAUAGGUCAACCAAGGGUUAUAACCACUAAUCAUCAAAGAGAAUCUGAAUGACAUAUCCAAAGAGAAGUCCAGGGAAUAAAGGUUUCCAAACCCUUAUGUACUUGGAAAUGUUUUAAGCAAUGAGACUGUGGAAAAUAUCCAUGUAUUUUUAGAACUGAUCUAGACUAAUGUUCAAAACGCACUUGUUGCUUUUAAGCUUAGGGGCAAUAAGAAUCCUCUUGUGAAAUAGGCUUGUGUCCAAAAUUUUUAUUUCAAUAAAAUGCAUUCUUUUGGAGUAAAUAUUCUUUCAUUCUUUUGUUCUUUGGACUAUUUUUUUUUAAAUAUGCUUUCAUUCUUUAUUCAUGAUCAUACAUACAAAUAACUAUCCUUGAAAUUUGCCUUUGUACCUACUGUAGGUCCCCAGAUAUCAAUGACAUGAGCAACGCUGUAACUGACUCCCUUUUGGGGUGAGAUAGGUGUUUAAGCGAAUCUCAAGACUUUGGAGAUGACAAAGAUUAUGACUUAUUUCCUGAUUUGUUAAGGACGGUAGAACAAGAUGAAAAAACUAAUCCUACUUUACGAAGGGUCAAUGGACAUUGUGAACAAGGGGCAAAGAUUGAAACCUGAGUCACCACAGGGACAAAAUAAAUUGUAUUUGAGUUACUUCAAGAAAUUCAAAUAUGUUUUCACAUGAUCAUGUUGAGAUAUAUUUGAGAUAUUAAGAUCUGUGGAUGAUACAAAAUGUCUACACAGUGCCAGAAUGACACAUGUUAAAGGUUUCAUGGUAGCCACGCUAACCAUGAGGUUUGGGUAUUGUUGAUCCACCAUGGAAGAUGAUUGCAUUGGUUAAAGCCACAUUCAUUUCUUCACAGAUUUUCUCUAUAUGGGACAAGGAUGUUAUCAGGCCAUUCUCAUCGAUUCAUCUUGGCAGUCAUUGAUUACUUCACGAAAGGGGUGAAGGUCACUUCAUAUGUCAAUAUUACAAGACUAAUAGUCAUCAAAUCUCAAAAAAAAAGAGAAAAAAAGAAAGAAAAGGGGAUGUGACAAGUAAUGACAGAAAGGAUUACUUUCAAAUACAACUGCGCAAUGUCAAAAGUUUGCAGUCUGUUCAAAGAUCAGACAAUAUAUCACAAUGCAGCAAAGGCAUUCAAAAAGAAAAAACAAAAGUACAAAAAUAGAAAAAAAAAGGAAAAGCAAACAACAGUACAAGGGUCAUAGUGAAAAAUUACUGAGUCUUGUAAGGAUUGGCAUAAAGAAGUUAUCAUUUACCCUCUAUAUUUGUCGAACAUGGGCCUAGACUUUCACCGGGGCAACAUAUUGAUUUAUAGGACUGAAACAGUUUUUGAAAUCGAGAUUCCUUUUCUUCGAGUCUUGGCAGAAUUAAAGUUGGAUGAAUCAUAAUGGGUCCAAUCCUGAUCAGUCAAAUUUAAAAGAUAUUUGUCACAGUCAGAUGAUGCUGGUUUAUCCUCGAGAAUUCCAUGAUGGGAGUUUGAUAUUGAAGAAGAUCCUUCCUAUACAAAAGGACUUCAAAGGAAGAAAUAUGUCAAACUAAGAGGGACCUUAUGUAAAGAAUGCAUGUUUUUGAUUGAAAGGAUUUGCCCAGUUCGAGGAAUUCAAAAUGCAGUCAAAGAGUGUCCUAUGGGAAAGGCCAAGGUGAAAACUCGCAAAGGGCGCCUUGAAACCUUGAAAAAGAAAAAAAUCAAAAUAAAAGAAGAUAAAUAAAAAGAAAGAAAGAAUUAAUCAAAAAAGUUGAAAAAUGAAAGAAAAAGGAGAGGCCAGGGCAAAAACCCGCAAAGGGCGCUUUGAGACCAAAAGGGAUUUGAGUUGAAAACCCGAAAAGGGCGGCUUAAAUUUGGAUUAAAGUGGGGUAUACAAUAGUCUUGCUAUGCCUGAAUUAACAAUGAAAGAAGAAUGUUACGUCUUGGGGCAUUGACAAAGUACUCCGGAUCCCAUAAACACAGAUUGAGCUCAGAAUGGUCCUAAAGAAGUUAGUACAGAGAAGCUCAAGCUGCGAUAUCUGGGGCACUUAGCUUUCCAUUUUUACCCAUUUUUGUUUGUUAUCUUUGAUUACCUUGUUCUUUUCAGGUCACUUCCUAAUAGAUUUCUUUCUUGGUUGCAUUUGCUUGUUUGUUUCGAGCUAUGUUCUCAAUUAAUUCCUUUCUUGUCCAUGGUUAUGAUCUUUUUUCAAGCAUUUGGCAUUGAAAUAACAAUUUUUGGACUAAUAAUACUUUUAUAAAGGAAGUUUCGCAUAUUACUUUGGGGAGUUUCUAAAUAAUACAGGAGCCUGAAAUAGGACUAUUGUUUAAAACUCACCAAGCUUAAGGGUUGAAAAUGUUUAAAGCCCAAAUUGAGAUUAUCUCCUUGGAUUUUCUGUCAAAGAUAUUAAUUGGUGUUAUAAUCCCGACAAAAGAGUGAGCAAUGGAAUUAUUCUUGAGAAAAGAAAAAUGGUAUUCUAUAUUCAUGCAGAUAUCAGGCAUAUACAUCUGUUCAUUAUACCCAGGGAAUGGUGUAACAGAUCAAAUUGAUUGAAGAUCCUAUGCCUCUGAGUUAUAGCAGGAUGGAUAGCAGAAAUCAAAUGAUUAUUCCCCUGAGGUUACAGUGGGAAGUUCAAAUUUUAUGUCCUAGAAGACUACAGUGUAAGGGACUCUGAAAUAACAGUGGGGCAAGCUUGCUGAGCAGAAUGUGAUUGUUUCUUUGGGUUUUCUGUCAAGAAUACCAUCCGAACAAGAUGGCAGCAUAAUAAAUCAAUGAUAAUGCUCUGGUGAACAAUGAGCAAUGAUGCCUUAAGCAUUUUUACCAAGAAAAAGAAAAAAGAAAAGAUCAUUCAAAAAAGAUCAUUUUCAUUUUUUGCAUUCAUAUAUCAUUCAUCACAUCUAGUUAGAUGUAUUUGAUUUAUUUUGAUCAUAGCAUCCUAAUUAUUUGACAUAAGCAUCACAUCUAGUUAGGAGCAUUUGAUUCAUUUUGAUCAUAACAUCCUAAUUAUUUGGCAUAAGCAUGAUACAUGAAACCGAGUCUACAGGACAUGUCCAAGAGAAUGGUGUAGUAAUAUCAGUGAAGUCAGAUCUUAUAUCCUUAAAGUUACAGCAGAAUGGAUCGAAGAUUACAAACCUUAUCUCCUUGAGGUUGCAAUAGAGCAGGUUGAAGUGUCAGUUACAGUAAAGCAAAUCAUAACAAGUCUUAUCUCCCUGAGUUUGCAGUGGAGUAGACUGAAGACUGAAAGAUCUUAUCUCCCUAAGUAGUAGCAGAGCAGACCAAAGAUGGCGAAUCUUAUCUCCAUAUAUCGGCAAUGGAGCAGAUUUUAGCCGCUGACCUUAUCUCUCUAAGGUAGCAAGAGAGCAGGUUGAAAAAUGAGUCUUAUUUUCCUAAGGUAGCAAGGAAGCAGACUGAAUAUUGAAGAUCUUAUCUCCCUAAGCAGUAGCAGAGCAGAUCGAGGAUGGCGAAUCUUAUCUCCAUGUAUCGGCAAUAGAGUAGAUUUUAGUCACUGACCUUAUUUCUCUGAGGUAGCAAGAGAGCAGGUUGAAGAAUGAGUAUUAUCUUCUUAAGGCAGCAAGGAAGUAAACUGAAGAUUGAAAAUCUUAUCUCUCUAAGCAGUAGCAGAGAAGAUCGAGGAUGACGAAUCUUAUCUCUAUGUAUCGGCAAUAGAGCAGAUUUUAGCUAUUGACCUUAUCUCUCUGAGGUAGCAAGAGAGCAGGUUGGCGAUUGUAGUCUUAUCUUCCUGAGGUAGCAAGGAAGCAGACUAAAGAUUGAAGAUAUUAUUUCCCUGAACAGAAAAAGUAGAUCGAAAAAGACAAAUUUUAUCUCCAUGUAUCGGCAAUGGAACAGGUUUAAGCCCCAAGAUUUAUUUCCCUGAAGUUGCAAUGGAGUAGAUUUUAUUACUAGCCUCAUUUCUCUGAGGUAGCAAGAGAGCAGGUUGAAGAAUGAGUCUUAUCUUCCUUAGAUAGCAAGGAAGCAGACUGAGAAUUGAAGAUUUUAUCUCCCUGAGAUUGCAGCGGAGCAGAUCUUCGCAGAUGAUGAAUCUUAUCUCCAUGUAUCGGCAAUGGAGCAGAUUUAAGACACUAGCCUUAUCUCUCUGAGCUAGCAAGAGAGUAAGUUUGCGAUUGUAGUCUUAUCUUCCUAAGGUAGCAAGGAAGCAGACUAAAGUUUGAAGAUCUUAUCUCCCUAAGUAGUUGUGGAGCAGAUCGAGAAUGGCGACUCUUAUCUCCAUGUAUUGGCAAUGGAGCAGAUCUAAGUCAUUAAGCUUAUUUCCCUAAAGUUACAGUCCAGAUUUAGCAAAAUCGGGCAAAAUUGGCCCUAUUUGAAGUCUUUGCUCUAUUCUCGUUGCACGAAAAUGAGCAAAGAGGGGCAGCUGUAAUAGGCCCAUUUCGCCCAGGCCUAUACCAAAACCAAAAUAGAAAAAUAAUAAAACCAAAAUAAUUUAAAAGUCAAGUCCAUUUACAUUUUCCAAUUAACCCAAAUAGACCAGCACCCCAUGGUCCAAAACUAAACCAAAUUUUCAGCAGAAACCCUAAGGUUCCCUUGCGCCGAACAGGUUUCCAACAGCUUCCAGCAUCGCUCCUACCUCCGGCCAGUCCCACGUGCGCCAUCAGUCAGCUGGCUCCAUACCUGCAACAAAUGGAAAUUACAACAGCAAAUGAUAGAUAAUAUAACAGAAUAAUAGCAAACAAAUGAAGGGGGAAAAGGGGAAAUUUGAAAAUUUUGAUUUUGUCUAUAUAAAGCCAAUUGUAUACUGUAAAUAGGGGAUUAUUUUUUUUCCACAGAAAUACAGAAGCAUAUUGAAAGAGAAAUAAAAAUCGAAAAGGUGAUUUCCAGUCUUAUUGUUUUCCUUUUUUUUCUUUUUUUUUUGCGUUUUUCUUCUUUAGGAUUACAUGAAAUUUUAAAACAAAAGAAAGAAGGGGAUUUACAUGAAAUUUUAAAAUAAAAAUAAGGGAUUUACCUUAGUAGUCAAUAACCGUCUUCUUCGUCGCAAUCGAAGCAGGGACGGGAUUUUGAAAUCGAAGCAAAUAGUCUUCGAGGUUUAACCCUCCAUGGCUCCUCUGUGCAUCUUGAGUCACUGAUCAAAACGAAGCAAGAACAUGCAGAUAAGGGGGCUAUGGGGAUCGGCCGAAGGGAGAGGAGUGAAUUAGAGUGCUUCUGUCUUCUCUCUUUUGUUAGUAUUUUAGGUUUUUUUAUUUUUUCCUUUUGUUUUUUAUGAAACAAACAAAAUGGCACCGUUUGAGAAAGGUAAAGGUUUGCGUGAAAACUUGAUUUAGAAGUUGGAUUUGUGCCUUUUUAUUUAAAUGGAUAAUUUUGCAUAUUUGAUCCUUCCUCCUUGCACCGCGUUGUAAUCUGCUCCCAUUUGCAUUUGAUUUGCUUUAUUUUCUUUUAGAUUAUUCCCAAAAUUUGAAGUACUUUUAUGUUUUAGUCCGCAUCUCAACACAAUGUUUCAGGAUCAGGGAUUAUUUCAAUCUUGAUCCCUGUGAAUUCAUGUGUGUUAUAUAUGAGUCUCCAUUAGUAGUUUACUUAUUUUGUAAAUUAUCUUUUUAUUUUACUUUGAUUUCAAUUAAGUAUUUUAUUAGAUUUAUGUUAUAAAUUUGGGUUUAUUCACUCAUAUAUUUUCGGUCCUUUUAUUAAUGUAUGUAUAUUCAUCAUUAUUUUAUUUUCAUUUUUGUUUUUUUUAUUGUUUAUAUUAUUUGUAAUGUUAAUAUUAAUUGUAUUAUUUAUAUUGUUGGUUACUUAUUUGUUGUAAUUUGAAUAAUUGAAGUUCCCCUUGCAUACUAUUUUAUGUAGUGUUUUAUGCGUUAUUAUACAUGUAUAUACCUCAUAAUAAUUGGUUUUAUUCCAUGAAUAUUAUUAACAUUAAAUUAUUAUAUACGUUUAACUAUUUUUUUUCACAUAUUAAUGUUAUAUAUGUAUAUGUUUUUUCAAAAUGAAAUCGCAUGUUGUAUACAUUAAUUAAAUUUUAACUAUACAUAUACAAAAAUUAUUGGUAUAUAUAAUUUAAAUACAUUUUUAAACAUUAGUAUUUUUAUACAUAUAAUUUCUUUUAGAUUUAUUCACAUAUCUUUCUUAUUCAAAAAGAAAAUCUCACAUAUUUUGUGUAUUAUUUAAGUUAUUAUUAAACAUAUAUUUAGAACUUAUAUUUAAUUUGUAUUCAUUAUUAAAGCCAAGAUAUUCUUAUACAUAUAUAUUUUUUAAAUAAACUCACAUAAUGGUGUUUUUAAAAUUAUUAUGUAUAUAAGAUAUGGUUAAUUUUAUAAUUCAUAUUUUAAUUCAAUGAUAUUUUGACAUAUAAUUAUUUCUAACAUUUUUUCACAUGUAUAUGGCACAUAUUAAAUUAUUUUUAUUAUGGUACAUGUUAUUAUUUUCAUAUAAUUUUAUGUAAAUAUUUUUCUAUGUAUAUAUCGUCUUUUAAAAUUAUUUAUGUGUAUAAUAUUUUUAAAAACCCUUUUAAAUCAUAUAAUUUAUUGUAUCUCAUAUUAUCCUUAUGUUUUUUUUCAUAUAUAUAUUUUGUUACUUAUAUAAUUUGUAUAUUUACUUCAUUUUUUUAUACAUUAAUAAUUUCAUUCUUUUUAUCAAUAAUUAUACCCAAUGUUUACUUGUAUAUAAAAGUUUCAGAAAUUUAAUUUGUAUAUUAUUUUAUAUCAUGUAUUGUUAUUCCUUCAUAUUUAAUACACUAUUUAAAUUAUCUUGUGAAUUAUCAAUUUUUGAAUAAAUUUGUGUUUUAAAUAUUUUGUAUAUGAUUUGAUUUGAACUUUGAAAUUUAUAAUAACUAUUUCAAUAAACAUAUAUCCCAAGUUUUAUGCAAAUGUGUCGACUUAUAUAUAUAUCUUAUAUGAUCAUUAAUUCUUCAUUUUGUUUCAUACAUAUUUUUGUACAUCAUUUUAUUUUGUGUUAUGAUCAUGUAUAUUAUUUUUAUAUUAAUUAUUCAUUAUCCAUGCUUAAAGAAAAUUUUUUUGUUACAUUAUACCUAGAAUGAUUGUAAGAUGUAUUAAGCAAGGUUUAUUGUAUUUUGAGUAUAUUAUUUCAUAUUUAUUAUUUUUUACAAUGCAUUAAAUAUUUCAUCAAUUUUAAAAUGAAUAAACAUAUCUUUAAGCAAAUUUCUAAAUUUCUGUUAUUCAAAAAAUCUGAAAUAAGGCAAUAUCUAAUGUUUGGGGUAUUCGAAAAAUCGUGAUCAAUCGUACUGUAUAUGACUUUUCCGGUGAACCAAAUAUUCAGAUAACCCCUUUUAUGAUUUUAAUUUUUUUUUCAAAAGUCAAACAUUGAUUGCAUCUUAAAGGUAUAAGGGAUCGUAUCCAAUCGUACUGGGUAUAAAACUGCAUAUCUUUGGAACGAGAGAUUUUUUACCACUAAUUUGAGCUAUUCAAACAAUUUUUUUUAUAUACUUCGGAAAAUCUUUUCUUUUAAAAUUUUUUAAGGAGCAUCAAAUCAAUUUGGUACCAAUUUUUGGGCGUAAUGAGGGUGCUAACCCUUCUUCAUGCGUAACCGACUCCCGAACCCGUUUUUUUAUUUUACCUAAACCAAAUUUAUUUUUCAUUGAAUAAAGCGUUUUAAUAGAUGGUCCAACACACCUAAAUCAAGAGAUUGGUGGCGACUCCACACUCGGUUUUAAAAGUCGAUCUCCAUUGUUUUCUAAAUAAAAAAGGGUUUCGACAAUGCCAAUAGCAUGUUUUUUAUUUAUUAAACUAUAUGUGCAACUAGUAUGUUCUGAUCAGUUAUGUUAUGUCAUUUUCAUGUGUAUUAGGGUUGGGUUAUGUAUGACUUGGAGGAAGUUCUAAUAGACUACAAUCUGCGAUUCUGGCAGUUUACCCGCAAAUUUUGAUUUGGCAGUUAAACUACAUUCAGCCAAAAGUAUGACCAUUACGAACCAACCACUAAACUAAAAGCACACGAACCUAGCCCUUAGAGAAAAGGUUUCUAAUGCAUUAAGUCACUGGAGGAAUGAGCGCCUCACAAUCCUCACCUAAUACACCAUUAAACCAACUAUCCUCUCAACUUAAACCAAAGCAAACAUCUUUAAAUUAAAAUAAAUGAAUGGAUUAUACUACUUAAAAAAUAAAUUGUGAUACUACCCCAAUUUGAACUGUGUCAUCGAGAGGUGAGUAGUUCUUGUCGACUAGUUAGGUUAGUAGAUGAUUUAGAAGCCCUGCUAGGUUAAUUAGUAACCAACUAUUUAAAACUCUACACCAAUAAUUAAUCAGGUAAAACAAUCGGAUCUAGGCCGAAGGAACUCGCAUAGUAGAAAUAAGGGAUAGAAGAUGAACUUAGGAAUAGAUUUAGGUUUAAUUCAAUUUAUUUGGUUAUUAUUACUAUCAUCUUACUUCUAGAUUAACACUACUAAUUUGUGACUCGAGUAGAUUAGUGAUAAUACUCAAGAAUAACAUAUUUUUAAGUAUUAAUUAUAUUUUAUUUUGAGUAUGAUCCUACUAAUUUGAGCUAUUUAUGGUUUUUUAUCUGGUAGGGAUUAAAUUGAAUGCAAAAGAAAAUUUGGGGGCAAAAAGCGUGAAUUUGAAGCAAAAUGGGCCAACAUGCAAAAUAGAAAAUAAAUGGUGCUGAAAAUGCAAAAUGUGGAAGACUUGAGGGGCAAAAUUUCAAAGAAGAGAUUUAUAAACAUUAGACUUUAUUUAAAUUUGAAUUUUAUUUGGAUUAUUGUUAGGAUUAUUAUUUAGAUUUAUUUCAGCUUUUAUCUUCAUUUAUCCUUUAGAGUUUAAAUAGGAACAAACUUAGUUUUUCAUGUACUAUAAAUAGGAGAUGGAGUGACACAAAUUAACACUCAUCUUUUCUGUAAAAACUCCCUCUUCCUAAAGCUCUUAGCUUUUUGUUCCUUUUUAUUUAUUCAAUAAAAUUCAAUUUUAUUAAACUUAUUUCUUUUUUUCCCCAAAAGCAUAAUCUGCUAAACUCAUCUAGCCAAAAGUUGUCGAGAUUCCUCAAAAAAAGGUUCAUGCAGCUUAGAAUCUGCACUUAGCCUUCUAAACGAGUAUUCGUCGUUUCUCCACAUUAUGGGACUGAUGCUUCCGUCCAUGUCCUUCCAAAAGUGAUUAUUUCAUCUAGAGCAAAGGCGGCCGCUUUGUAUGUUUUGGGAAAGUUGCACAGUUGAUUCGUUAGCUUACUGCGCCAGUGGUUGUCGAGCCCAAGAGAAAAAAUGGCGUGGCAUUCGCCAUUGAGAAAUGAUGAUCUAGUGUAAUAUGGUCCCACAAAAGUGACGGUUGGCUAGAGUCAGGUUCCUCUAAAUCGUAAAUCUAAAAUCUAAGUGGAGCUAGUGGUCGUCCUCUUCCACUAUAACUGGCGUAUUCUAUUCGAGAAGGAUCACCUAAAAGCCUAGGAUUGAACCCAAGAAGGAUCGAGAUAACCGGAGGCUGGAAUCUCUCAAUCCAAGAAUCUUUUUUCUCGACUCUAUUUAUUUUUACAAUUUCAAUUUCAAUUUACAAAAUCUCAAUUCGUCCAUAUUUUUAAUUCUUUUUUUUUCAGGUACGCCUUUUUUGGGCAGGACUGUGCCCGGGAUCUCGAGGAACAAGAAGUUGUGCAAAUCCAAUCCCUGAGGAUUUGACCCUACUUCCCUUAUACGAUUCUUUUCGUUAUUUUAAAGGGAUAGGAUAUUUUUUGUGCUCUCAACAACGCAUCAAUUAGUAGUUAUUUUUAGUAAUUGGCUUAAUAGCAGUUUUUCCCAAACUGCAAUCCCCUGGGGUACGACCCUCGGAAUACUUAUUAAGUGUUUUGUUGUAAACAAACUAUAUUACAAUCUGGCCCGUAUAUUUGUGGACACCAUGUAACGCCCCAAUUUUCUUAUGUUUAGAUCGUUAAAUUAUGUCAAGUAAUUUGAUUUAGUCUGUUGGUUAUGUGCCUUGAAUGUAUGCUUUAGGUCUUGAGUUCGAUUCUCUCGUUUUGGAUUUUUCUUAUUAAUUUUCGCAUUAUGUUAAGCUUGAGCUUUUGGGAUUAACUUUUAUUUUUGUCGGAUUAUUAAUAAGAAUGAGCCUGUUGGUUUAGUGGUAUGGCUUGAACUUACAUAUAGAUAUUGUGUUUGAAUCCCGUUGUGCGCAAAUGUGAAAUAUUUUUUAUUUUGGCUAUUCUUUUGAAGUAGAGUUCAAAUUAAAUUCCAUAAAAUCUGGUGGGUUAAGAUUUGGUUAAAGUUGAAUUACUUUAACUUUUUUUUGAGUUAUCACCCAUAAUUUUACUCCCACUUCCAACCGUCCAAUUUCUCUUAUACCUCUUUCACAUUUCUUUUUCUUCCCAUUUUGUUUUUCUUCUUUCUUUUUCUUUCACUUUCCUUUGAGUUAUCUUUCUUUUCUUUUCUGUUAAUUUUUUAUUUCAAUCAUCCUAUCUUCUAAGAUGUUUGUGUGUGUUACUUGCAAUUUAAUCGUUGUUCAAAGCGUGGUGUAAGUUUUAUCAAGAUAUUUUUCUAUUAUUUUAGCCUUAACUUGUUCUUGAACAAGAUUAGAGUUGUUGAUGUUUAGUUUCCUUUCCAUGUUAUGUUAAGUAUUUUCGUGAUUUUGAUUAGGCGAAGGGUAUGAGAAUCAAAGUCCUCUAGCAAAGUAGUUCUCAUUUGGACGUUGUUUUCUGAGUAGUAAGUACUCAAACCUCACUUUAGGGACUAAAAUUUUGAGAAAAUAAUGUGAUUUUGGAAGGAUAUUUGAUGGUUAAUUGGUGUGAUUUGAUGAUUUAUUGUAUGAUUCAUGAGCUCCUAGUUGUAUGGCUAAUCAAAAAUAUUGUUAGGUGUGUGAAUUAACCCAAAAAACUCGACUGAAACUCGGAAAAAUCCAAAAAUAGGGGUUGUUUUCAAAAUUGCACAGCAUCACACAGUCAUGUGACAGGCCGUGUGACAGGCCGUGUGCACUACACGGUCGUAUUGUAGGCCAUGUGCUAGGCCAUAUGUGAUUACACGGCUUGAAUAAGAAGGUCGUGUGGACCACACAAGCUAGCUUAUUAGGCCGUGUAGGCCAAACAACCAUGUGGGUCCUCUAAACCUAUUUUAAAGGCCCGAUUAGAGGUCAAUUAAGUGACCCAAAAAUUGUAUCCGUGGGCAUUUUGGUAGGCCUAUAAAAGCGGAAAAUUCAAUAUGUUAAACAUGAGUAAGCUUAGAAAGCAUGUUAAGUAAGAUUCACUUUAUAUAAGUUAUGUAUUAUGUUACGCUCUAUAAAUAUAUGUUUAAAAAUGCAUGCCAUGCAACCGAUAUGAUAUGUAUGUAUGUUAACAUGAUUACGUAUAUGCAUUGGGGUGGACUUUGGUAUAGUGGAGGAAGUGUAUUAUGGCAGUUUUAUAGCAAUUUUGGCUAUUAAACCGCAAUUACUGUCUAACAGCUUAGCUAUAUAUUUUGAGUGACAUACCGCUACGUACUGGUAUGAUUGGAUGGAUGGACUCAUGUAGUCCCAAUUGAUGUGAUUGGUUGGACGAAGAUUGUAACACCCCAAAAUAAGGCCUAGAAGUUUUAGGGGUAAUUUAGGAAUUUUACCCUUAGAGUGUUUAGAAUUUUGCGACAUGGUAUACUGAUAAUGUUUUUUACUAUGGUUUUUAGAAAAUUAAAUCAAUUUCUGAAAAUGAGUUUUAAAUACCUUUAAUUUUGAGAAUAGGACUGAUAUGUAAAAGAGUCAAAACUUAGAGUUUUUAAGAGGGAAUUAGACCAGAUUUUCCAACUUACAAACCCCAUUUAUAGUUUUAUUUUCACAUUAGUCGUCUUCUUCUUCUUCUUCUCUCAUACGUGUGCCAUCUAUAGUUCUCCCAACACUCCCGAUCAAUUUUAAAAUCCAAAUCCUAAUUCCUUUUGAUUUUUAUCAUCUCUUUUAAGUUAUAUAUAUUAUUCAAACAUUUGUCGUCAUAUGACAGAAACUAGUAUAUAAAGCAAACGGGUGUGCAAGUUUGAACCACCAAGCAAAAGUACUAAACCUGUACAAAUUUAGUAAGCAACCAAAAGGUAAGAAACUAACUAUCAUGGCUGCCAGUUUAGCUUUACCAUAUGCAGAAACUAACUAUCAUGGCUGCCAGUUUAGCUUUACCAUAUGCAGCAGGCAUCCCAGCUUCAGCACGCCAGCAGCGUCGUAGAAGCAUGGUGAUCAAGGCACAGAAAACCAGUAUCAUGGCCAACCACCUGCAGUACAACACUAUGAAAAAGCCAGUGGCUUUGGUUCCAUACCACGCCAUCCUCUUACACAGCCUUCAUUCAAUACCAGACGGAACAACACAAUGGUGGUGGGUGCUUAUCCCAACUUGAAAUUAGAAGUUAUACUGGGAAUUACAGUAUAUACAGACGG